UCCGUAUCCGACAACGGUGACUGCAUGGGAGAGAGCAUUGCCACAAUCUCCGGUAAACACUCCCCCGCUGUAAAACCGAAAGUCUUGUCCAUGGCCUUCGAUUGCAACUGAGACAGGUUGACUUGCGACGACCUUAAGCAACGCUUCUUCGUCGUUUUCAGGCACCAUUUGAUAUUCAUUGAUGGUGGCAACUUUGUUUAUCUGUUUCUCAGUGUCGCAAGUUUCUUGCGUUUCUUGAUAUGGGUAGCUUUCUUCAGUAGUUAUUCCUUGGUUUCGGAUAACGUAUUCGAAAGCAUUUACCAUUUGUCCACCAUCGCAACCUCUGUUUCCUCCAUCUGUGCUGCAAUCCAACAAUUGUUGUUCAGAUAAUGACAUUAAACUACCAGUUUUGAUUUGGACUAUCCCUUCAAUGGCUGCCACUGCUGAAAAUGCCCAACAACAUCCUGCAAAGUAAACCAACAAUAACCCUUUGUUAAGUAUAAAACAAUUACUGAAAAAACUAAAUGAAUGCUUCUUGGCUGAGCAAUAUUUAUAAAAUAUUUUAUAGGAGUUGGGUUAGCAUACUAACAUAUUUUUAAGGGAAAAAUCAAAUAGUGACACGUGGUUGUUAAAAAGUAAAUAAGUCUUAUUGAGCAAAAUUAAUUUUUAUAUAUUGAAUCAAAAAGUAAAUAAGUCUUUUAUGUUAAAAAUUUAAUUCAUUUGUACUAUUAAAAACUGUCGUGACUGACAAAAUAACCAAAUAAUAACACGUGGCUUGCCAUGUGUGUUGAUAUAUAAGGACCAGUUUUUCAUAUUAAAAAUGAAUGAAAUUUUUAAAAGAAUGAUGAGUUUGCUAUUUGAUUAACGUGCGAGGAUUCAUUUGCCCAUAUUUUGAGUAGAGACGACAAAAUGCAAUUCGGCUCCUAGUAUAAGAGUCUCCAUAAACUUUUACCUCUUUUAUUUAAAAAUAUAUAUUUUUAAAUAUUAUAAUUAUAAAUUUAUUGAUUUUUUUAAUUUAUUCGUCAUUAAGCAUACAUCAAUGUUAAAGUAAGUUUGCAUUUUCUUUCCAUAUGAUAUAUGUUUUAAUUUGGAAUCGAUCUAAUAUUUCUAUCAUAUCAUUUAAAAAAUUGAUUUUUUUCAAAAUAUAUCAAAGGAUUGAAAGAUUUGUAUAUUAAUUAAAUAAUUUGACAUUUUUAAUUUACUUAAACCUUGAUUAAUAUUAUUUAUGUUAAUACAACAUCACAUAUGAUGGUUGAAUUAAGCAAAUAUAUUGCAGAAAAUUAUUUCUUUUCUACAAUGAUGGAAAAUUAACUUAGGGUGCUGUGUGUUUAACUUACUUUUUGUCUCAUACUACAGUAUUGCUACAGUAUCUAAUCUCACCGUCAUUGUUAUUUUUAUAGUAUCGGCAGGUAAACGCACCACCCAUCCAAACUCACUCUUAGUUUUAUAGUAAUAUAAGUGAAUUCCCUACAUAUAUAUACAUUAGAUUAUGAGAUAUCUAUGAUGUCGAUGAAAAAUAUUUACGUAAAAAAUAUAUUAACUAAAAUUUUAUAUAAAAAUUAAAUAAAAUUUUAAUUGAAAUAAUAAAAUUAAAGGUUUAAAAACUAAUGCUUUAAGCUUAAAUCUCAUCAUGUGUACUUUUAAUGAUUUUAUAUAUAAAAAAAACUCUCAUAAUAAUACAAGUUAGAUUGUAAAAAGAUGACUUUUUAAUUAGUUUCGACUGCAUUUGUGUUCGAUUGAUUUGUAACAUUAACUUAAUCAAUGGUUGUAUGUAAAUUGAGACUUACCACAUUGACCUUGAAACUUAACAGGAGUGACAGCACCUUGGGCCCUCCAAUCCAAGUUUGUCGGAACAUCUGAGACGUUUUCAUACAUAAAAGAUGUUGAUUCGGACAGUGUGGGAUUGCCUUGCAUCUUGUAUCCUGUAUGAGCUGCAAUGAAUUCAUCUUGUGUCAUGUCUGCAAAUUCAUUGAGACUUAACUUAAAACUCCUAUUUCCGCCAUUGUUGAAGCUCUCAAUAUAUUCCAAGUUUUCCUUGAAUAUAUUAAGACGCUUCUCCUUCUCUAAUUUGCUCUCAUAUUUUCGAUUAUAAUCAACCAUCCAUUGCUCAUGUUUGUCAACAAUGAAGGUUUCAUGGAUUGUUCGGGACAUGGCAAGAGAUUCCAAUGUCCCAAAAAUUAAAAACAAAAAGACGUGGAUUAAACUCAUCAUUGUUUGGCAGAGAUACUACACUAAUUGAAAGGUCUAGCACUCAAUGAAUCUAUAUAUACUACAAAAUUUGAUUAAAAUAACUAUUUUUAAUUAAGUCAUCUUAUGAAAAAUCCAAAUAAAAGGCCAAUAAAAUAUUUGAUUUAAAUAAAUAUUUUUAAUUGAUUAACCCUACUACAAGUUUGUUUGUAUUUGUUUUUCUUCCUUUGAGUUGAAAAAAUUCAACACUCCCAUUAUGUUAAGGGUAAAUUGCAUAAUAAUCACUCAAUUAUUAAUAAAUUAAGUGACGAUAACUAACAAGUGAGUGAUUAAAAUAUUUAAUUUAAAAAAAUUAAGUGACUAAAUAAAAAAAUUUAAUAGGUGGGUGACCAAAAUAGAACCAAGUGCAUAGUUGGAUGACUAUAUUUUUAGUUUACCCAUUAUUCAUAGUUGCUGACAUUCAAAAUUAACAUGGAUUAAAUUGCUCAGAUUUUUUAGAGGGACGAGCUUACUCAAUUUCUCGUAGAAGUUGUGGUUUUUAUAUUUUAUUUUUAAAACUCAAAAAUAAAUUGUAAAAACUUGUUUUUAAAAUGAUUUAAAAAAAAUAAAACCAAUUUGAUUAAAGGGUUGCAAUUGAUAAGGGGAAAUCUCAUUACCUUCGCCUACAAUUAUUUUAAACAUAGGUUAACACGUAAUUUGAGGAGGAACUGAGAGAAAAACUUAUUAAACCAGAGUUAAAUAUUCAUCCCUUCAUUGCUGUUUUCCAGUUGUAUUGCUGCAUGCAAGCACUUCACUUGGAUUUCACUAUCAACCUUCCAACUUCCCCACUAUGUACGAUUAAAAUAUCACACAAGUGAAGAGAUAUUUUAAAGGAGAAAACUAUCCACACUUAAUCUAAAUUAAAAGUGAUCUAAUUUAAUUAAAAUUUAUUGAGCUUUAAUUAUUAAAUAAAAUAUGAAUCAAAUAUUAAUUUCUAACUAAUACUGGGCUGAUUAGGAAUUAAAGUAGAUUUAACUUUUUUAAAUUACUUAUCUGCUAAUUUAAAAGAUUAAAACUAUAAAAUUCAAAGAUCUCAUAAAAUCGAUAGAUUUAAGUACGCUUUUGUAUUUUAUUUUGCUCUUGACUAAACAAAUUUUACUUUAUUAAAUAAAAUAUGAAUCAAAUGUUAAUUUCUAAAUGAUAAUGGGCUGAUUAGGAAUUAAAGUUAACGUAGAUUUAACUUUUUUAAAUUACUUAUGUACUAAUUUAAAAGAUUAAAACCACAAAAUUAAAAGAUCUCAUAAAAUCGAUAGGUUUAAGUACGCUUUUGUAUUUAAUUUUGUUCUUGACAAAACAAAUUUUACUUUAUUAAAUAUUUAAAUAAUGAAAUACCUUAAGAUGAAUGAAAAAGAAAAUGAAUUUCAUGAUAUUUUAGUAAUAAAAUAUAUGAAAUGAUGAUUAUAUUUAAAUUCCAAAUUCUUUAGUGCAAGUGUCUGGGUCUUCAUUCUUGCAAUAAUGUAAGAUUGAGCCAAUUAAACAUUACAUGUAGUCUUUAGUGAAAUCAUCUAGGCCUUCAUUAUCGUCUCUAAAGCCCCAUUACAUAAUUGGCGCGCCGAUGAAGCAAAUGAGAAUGUUGACAAGCAGGAUUUGCUCUAUUUUUUCUCUUAAUUUCUUAUGUUUGAUAGUUGCUGCGUGGAAUAGAAAGAUAGACCAGAUGCAAGUCACGGUCAAGGUCAACUGCCCUUAUUUGCAACAGAGCCAGGGUGAUUUUUUUUAUUAAUUUAUUUUGAAUAUUUUUAUUAAAAUAAUGCGUGAACGGACAAAACAAAAUUUUAUUGUGGAUUCAGUUAUUAUAGUAUUUUGAGUUUAAGGUUAAUUAAGAUACGACCAAUUUCCUCUGGUUUGCAAAAGUUAUUUCAUCAAUGGUAGUGGGACAUUUAGACUCCACCAUCAUGAGUCGUAGAAUAAUACAUAUUCGUCUAUUAAGAAUGAGGAAUUAAUAAAAACAGAAGCAAACCGAGUGAUUGUUUCCUCUAUAGGGAGGACAAGCAAUCUAAGGAUAAGAAAAUGCUUAAAACUUCAAGUUAUCCCAAAGCGAACAAAAAGAAGUAUAAAAACUUAUUAAAAUCUAAGUAUUUUUAUCAACAAGUGUUGGUUACAAUGGUAAGGUAUAUUGCAUUGUAGAGGACAUUGUUGGAAGGGACAGUCAUUAACCUAGAACAUAGACCGUAAAACAGACAUGAAUAAUACCCCAAAAAAAGUCCAAGUGUUUCUUUUGUAAUAACAAAAAGAGCACUGCAAGGAAAAAUGCAAAGAGUGUAAGGAUUACCUAGUCUCUAAGGGUAAAGGUAUGAAACUCUUGAUUAUUGAAACUUGUUUAGCGGAAGACUUAAUAGACCAUUAAGUCAUUGAUUAUAGAGCCACUAGUCAUGUUUGUAUUUCUUUGUAGGGGUUUAAGGAAAUGAAAGAUCUUCAGGAUAAGAAUCUACCAUUGCGAACCGGAGAUGGGAGCUAUGUGGCUACAAAAACAAUUCGAGAAGUACAUCUUUAUUUUGAUAGUUUUAGGAAGAUUGCUUUGGGAGAUGUUUUCUAUGUACCAAACUUUAGAAGAAAUGUAAUUUAUAUUGCAUGUUUAUUUAAAGACGAUUAUACUGUGACUUUCUGUAAUGGUAUUGCAAUUCAUAGAAAUCAAUCUCUUAUCUCUAAUGGAGGGAUGCAAAAUAAUAUUUAUUUUAUCAAAUCAAAUAUGCACUUACAGCUAGAAAUUGAACUCGUAAAUGAGAAACUUGAAACUUCUCUCUAAUGAGGCAUACUCAUUUCUAAUUUCAACGAGCUACCAGAGGGACUGAUUGGAUAUAUUUAAUUAGGGCUUAAAUGAUUUGUAAUUAAGUUUUCGCUUACAGCCUGUUAAUUAUAAACUCAUUUCAUCACAAAUUCAUUCGACUAUAGUAUCGUUACUGAGCUCUACCUAGAGGCAUACCAUUACAAAAGCAACUACUUCAGUGCUCGUCCAAUGACAUUUUCAUAAGUGUGUCACCCUCAUAUGAUAUCCUUGAUCUCUUUGGAAUAAUAUCCGCUCUCCCAAUAUGAUCCUUUUUUUUUCUCUUGGUAACCAUUACAUCUUCCUUCAUGAAAAAUCUAUCACUAUCAAAUAAUGAUCAAGUCAUCCAUCAUAAAGAGGAACGACCUGCUGCCACAUUUACUUUUCAUCAACCAUGUAAUGCAUAUUGAGGAUAUCAUUUACCCAUGUCUCGACCUAUGAAUUUCACUAUUGUGAAUGAUGCGAUAUACUGAACAAAUCUUACACCCAAUGAACCAGCUUUCAGUUCUGUAUCUAUUUGAACUCAAGCUUUUACUUACAUCAAAGUGUACAUAAUAAUUGUAACCUUCUCUUGCACUAAUACUCAUGGGGCCACAUAAGUUAGUUUGAACAAGUUAUAGGGGUUUUCUAUCCCUUGUUCCUUUUGCAUUAAAAGAUCGCUUAGUUAUCUUACCUUCAAAGUAAGAUUCACAUUGUGGAAGAUCAACUUCUUUAAGCGAACUUAAGAUGUCAUCUUUAACAAGCCUAGUGAGUUUUUCUCAGUUAAUAUGACCAAGUAUCAAAUGCCAAAUGUAUGCAUUAGAGUGAGAAGUUUUAAGUCUUUUAUUUGAUAUUUUAGUCUCAAGUAAUGUGUACAUCUUUGGUUUGAUAAAAUAAAGAUUAUUGACAUCCACCCAUUACAAUUAAGAUUGCGAUUCCAAAAUAUUGCAAUUCCAUUACUAAUAGUCACGAUUAACAUAAAUUAAGAUUGCGAUUCUAAAAUAUUGCAAUUCCAUUAUAUAAACAGGCAACAUAAAUUAAGUUUCUUUUGAAAUUUGAUACAUAGAAAAAGUCUCUUAAAAAAAUAAUCAUCCUAAAAUUUUGAAAAUAAAGAUGUACAUCUCCCACUACUUCAUCUGCCACACUUGUCCAGUUCCCAGACCACAACGAUAAGCUCUUAUACCUAAGAUCCUUUCUUUCCUCGAACCCCUAUAGAUAAAUACUAAUUUAAGGGUGUUUUUUUCUUUGCUAAUUGCUAAGUUGUGAAGAACUAGCACUCAGUGGACGUAUAUAUAUACUACAAAAAAAAUUAUUGAAAUGAAGAUUUUUUUAAUUAAGUCAUCUUAUGAAAAUUCAACUAAAAUGCCAAUCAAGUCUAUUUCUUUAAAUAAAUAUUUCUUUAAAUACUAAUUUCUAACUAAUAAUGGGCUGAUUAGGAAUUAAAGUUGACGUAGAUUUAACUUUUUUAAAUUACUUAUGUACUAAUUUAAAAGAUUAAAACCACAAAAUUCAAAGAUCUCAUAAAAUCGAUAGAUUUAAGUUUGCUUUUGUAUUUAAUUUUGUUCUUGACUAAACAAAUUUUACUUUAUUAAAUUUUGUAUCUUAACAAAAGAUUAAUAAAACUGGAAUUUGAAACAAUUAAUAUUGUAUUAAAUAUUUAAAUAAUGAAAUACCUUAGGAUAAAUUAAAAAGAAAAUGAAUUUCAUGAUAUUUUAUUUGUUGGCAUGUUUUACCAAAAUAUUUUGAUGAUUUGCUUGCAUUUUUUUGAGUAUCUUGUGCAACCAAUCUUUUGUUUAUCAUUGGAAAAGAGAUUCAAUCAAGCAAAAUUAUUUUUCAAGGAUCCUUAUAUUGUUUACUUAUGUAACACCCAGUUUUGCCGGGUUGUAAGUUCUGACGAGAAGAUUAAGAGUAAUCGGUGAGAAGUAGCCUAUCUACUCGAUUAUCAUUUUGGCACAUAGAUUAGGCGCAUAGCAGAUAAUAGAAUAUUAAGCAGGGAUUGUCAGAUAAUAGAAUAUUAAGCAAGGAUUGUUCUCAGAAUGUAUUCAGUUGUAAAGAAGAAGAGAUUGAUGAGAGUGUUGAGAACCUUGUAAUAAGGGGGUUAUCGCCUAAAUUGACAAUUUUCCAUUUUAGGAGGGGGCCCUGCCAAGCUCCCUAGAUAUACCACUCAUAGUGGUUGAUUUUCAAAAUUGGCGUGGAUUAAAUUGUUUAAAUAUUUAAGAGGGACCAGCUUACUCAAUGUUAAAAUUGAGAAGGACCAAAAAUUGUUUUUUUUUCCUUGUAGACAGUUGUUUAUAUAUAUAUAUAUAUUUGUAAAAACUUAUUAAACAGGAGCUAAAUAUUCAUCCCGUCAUUGCUGUUUUCCAGUCGUAUUGCAGCAUGCAAACUUAUUAUAUUUAAAUUCCAAAUUCUUUAGUGCAGGUGUCUGGGUCUUCAUUCUUUUCUCUUAUAAGAAGUUCAGAUUCAGACAAUUUUGUUUAGCCUUAGACACGACAAAGUGUUCUAAUAGUACAUCCCGCACGUUACUUAAUUGGCUGAUGUCGAUAAGUAAGAAUGCCCUUAAUUUCUAUCCUUUGAUAGUUGGGUGAUUGGGAUGAUUUAUUUAUUCAUUUUGGAAGUUUUUAUUAGAAUUUGACUUGCUAAUUUGCAUAUUUAUAUUAUAUUUGUGCUUUUUUUUACAUAAUUUUUUAUUAAUUAAUAAUGUGUUAUAGUAAACUUUUUUAUUCAAUUUAAUAUUACCAGCCCAUUCCAUAUUAAUUCAUUCAAAUAAAUUAUAUAGGAACUAUUUUUUAAUAAAAUAAUAAAUAGUAUUCCAAUAUUAUUUUUGUUUUCUAUUAUAUUUGAGUUAAUAUUUAAUAUAAUAUUAGUGGAAAUUUCAAUUCUAUAAUUUAAAUGCUAUCACAUAUUCCAUUUGAAGAAAAAAAAACAUUUAUUUUUUAUUACACUCUAAAAGUGUAUGAGCCGAUUGAGUCUUAACUCGGUUGGUAUUAACAUUGUUGCCUAUGCAGGAGGACAUGGGUUCAAGUACGUUGAAACACAUUUAUCCUCUUAUUGAGGGAGUGGAGAGACACUAUGGGUAGCUCUUUUAUUUUAACUCGAACAAUUUCACUCGAUGCGACUCGACUCAAAUUUUAUUUCACUCGACUCUAUUCGAAAAAAAAAUCAAAUUUACUUAAGAUCUUAAAAUAAGAAUCGUAAACUCGAUUAACUCGAAAUUUUUUAUAUACCAUUAUCAAAUCUACUUAGAACCAAGUAGACGAAAAUUCCAACCCAUACGAUACUUCAUUACUUAAUUGACGCAGCAAAUAUUGACAAAGCUGGGUUUGCGCCAAUUUUUUUUCUUCUUAAUUUCUAUUGUGUGAUUGGUACAUGGGUGGGAACGAACAUAAUUAGUGCCAUCCCACCAUGCAAUUGCAACCCUAAAAAAAAAAUCUAAAGAUGGUGACAAUUCAAAAUGGUAAUAAAAUAUUGAAAUAAAUUCUUUUUAUUUUACCUUGAUAUUAAUAAUAUUUAAUAACAUAAAAUAAUUUAUAUGUAUUAAAAUUUAUUAACCACUUCAUAUUAGAAUAACCCUAUCAUUAUUUCAAAAGGUAGAAAUGUUAUUAUUACAACAAUUAAAAAAUAUCAUAUAUUCCAAUCAUUAAUUCAUCAUAAUUUUAAUAAAAAUUCUCACAUAUAAUAAUGAUAAAUAAAAAUUAUUUAUGCUUAAUUGCAAAUUAUGUGCAAAUAUACACAAUUGUAACAAGUAAUAAAGUAGUAAUUAUACGAGUACCGUCUCCUUAGGGACUGAACAGGUAGUCAAGAUUUGCGAAAAUAAUUUAAAUAACAAUUAUAAAUGGGGUUUAUGCAAUUAAUUAAACUAAAUGCUUCUAUCCUGCAAAAUUUCAACAGAAUAAUGAGUACUUCAACAAAUGAAUUAAUAAUGCUAGAAUAAUUAAUCCACUUCUGUCUUUGUUCAAUUUAGUCUGGAUGCAAUUGUUAUGAAAAUCUUGGCAUAAUUAGCGUGUAACAUCCAUAACCUGUUUUCAUCACCAGAAUAGGGUUACAGAGUAUUACCAUACAAUUCGAAACAUUCCAUAACAAUAGCAUCUAAUUCAUCAAGUUAAUUAACAAUAUUCAUAAAUAAUUCGAAAUCAAGGAAGACACACAUUCAUAGAACUUAAAUCGAGCCUACGAGGCCUAAUAAUCAGAGAUUAAUUCAAAACAAAAUAGGAGAUUUGGUACAAAAAUAAAAAAAUUUCAAAAUAAGGGUCACACGGCCAUGUGUCUAGGCCUAAACCAUGUGGCCAUCACACAUGCUCGUGUGCAUGGGCCGUGUAACUCUCUAACUUGGGUCACACAGCCGUGUCACAGCCCGUGUAAACCUUGCACCUAACACACUAACACACGCCUGUGUGUGACACACGACCGUGUAACAACCUGUGUCCCAGGCCGUGUGUACCCAAAAGUGACUAAAAUCAUGUUGAUUUUUCAUCCAAUUACAUAAGUACCUAAACCAAUUCAUAACACAUGAUCAUAAGACUAUAACCACACCUAAAAGCAACCAAAACAUGUCAAUUUCAACCAUCUAAAACCAAACCAAGGUGUCAUACAUGAAGUUACAAAUAAUGUUUAUACCCAACAUAAUCAUUUCAUAUCACCUACAAAUCAUACAUAUACACCAACUAAUCUAUGUCAAUCUCAUCAUACCAUACUUAAACAUGAUAUUUACUAUUCCGUGGGCAAAACACUCAAGCUCAACUUUGAAUUUAACAAGCAUACCAUAUAAAGUUACCAUUCUACAACAUCAAACAUAUCAAACACCACACAUAGCUAUGAAACAUUACAAACAUAAAUCAUUUUUCCUAUUACAUGCUAUAUAACCAAAUUGUUUACAAAAUCUACCAAAAGAGUCUUUAGGAUAGUGUGAUUUUACGAGUUGAUCUGAUCUCCCCUCCACAAAAUGUAAUCUACAAGAAAAGGAACAAGACACGAGUAAGCUUACAGAAGCUUAGUAACUUCGUUGAUUAAAUGAUAAUCUUAUCGGAUUGAACAUAAAUAAACAAUGUAUGAGAUUUAAGAAAAUAAGUUCCUGUCAAUCACAGCUAACAACAGGUGAGUAUUGCACAGUACAAUAAUUCAAAUCAUAUUCCAUAUUACUAUUAUUUAAACUUUCCAAAAACACUUAUACUUGGAUAAUUCACAUCAUCAAGAUGCCAUAUGAUAAAUGAUCAAAAACCAUGUCAUAGUUCUAACAAUAUCUCAUUUCAUGUAAUCAAAAGGGUAUCACUCAUUCGAGUUAACAUUUAUAACUUUAACCGACUCACGAUGUUGCUUACACAAGCUGCAGAGAAUCCGCAACACAUGUAGGAUCUCAAGCCAUCGCUACGGUCUAUAUCACAAGUACACAGUACCUGCUAAAUAAUCACGAGCCCACAACCUACUAAGACCCGAAAAGAUCUCAAAACACAGUAGAAUAUACUUCAUGUUGCUCACCUCCUUUUCAUUUGCUCUUAAGAAUAGUAUAGUGUCGUCCGCGAAUUGUAAAUGAGUAAAAUUCUGUCUAAGAAUAACAUAUUGAAAGUCUUCAAUUAGCCCUAACUCCACAGCUUUAUCCAUUGCCAAAUGAAGCAUUUUCGUCACAAUUAAAUAAGAAUGGGGAUAGCGGACCUCCUAGACGAAGACCUCUGCAGAAUCUGAAUUCGUUUAUGGUUAACCCGUUGAUAAUUACUGUUGUCAUAACGUUGCCUACAUAAGAGUACGGGGGCCUAGUAAGCAAAGCUAGACACGAAGGGCCUAAAUUAAAGUAGAGUUGCCACUAACCAAUUAGGGCUAGCUUCGUAAGCCACCUAUCGUCUAAAAAUCUAGAAUUAAUACGUUGGAAAAUCCUAAAAGUCUAGAGUCAAUCUCAUCACCAAAUUUUGGGUUCGGGAGUACGGUUACGUAUGGGGAACGCUAUAGCACCCCCACAAUGCCUAUCCGGGGGAUAGUCCUACGGGGUUAUAAAACCUAGAAUUUUUUUUAAUUAAGCAUAUUAAUGUCUUAAUCUAGGCUAAAAUCUUAUGGAAAUUUUAAAUAAAAACUCUAAAGAAAUGCCUUUGGUUUACUUGUAACUCGAUUAAGAUGUGUUUACCAAGCUUAUCUAAUUUGAAACUUUAAUGAGAGAUUUUUAAUUUUAACGGGAACCUUAAAGGAUACCUAAAUAAGUAUAGUAAAAUAUCUUUAAUUCCUAAAGUUAAUUCUAUUUUAGAAUUCUAAAAAAACCUAGAAAUUACCAAUAAAAUAAGAGAAAUAUUAAAAUCAAUCUACAACUUAUUUGAUCUUUUAUUAUUAUUAUUUAAAAGAUUUAAUUAAUAACUUUGAACCUAUCAAGAUAUUACGAAAGUAUCCUAUGCCGGUUUAUGAUCUAUCUUACUUUAAAAUUCUUGAUCUAAUAUUUAAAUUCGUCAAAAUCCUGAAAUAAUAUAUCUUAAAUAAUAUUUAUUAGGUUUCUUAAAAAGUUUCUAAAAUAAAAUACUUAGAAAGACCUACUCAUGAUUUACAAUUCACCUACAAAAAUCUUUAAUUUUAAUCUUGAAUAAAGUCCUAAAGAAUAAUUACAUAUUAAUUUAAAAUUCUAAAGAGGAAUCCUAUACGAUAUUUAAAACUAGUUUAAAACCCUAAAAAAAUCCUACAUAUUAUUUAUAAUUUUUCUAGGGUAAAUGGUGGAUAAGAUCUUAAGGACUAACCUAAAUCCAAAUGUAAAAACCUUAUGGUUUCAUUAAAAUGUAACACCUAUUUAACUAACUUCAUGUCAAUAAUUACAGGAUGGAAAAAUGACCUAAAGUUAUUUUAAAACAAAUAGUAAUAAAAUAGGAAAAUCAAUUAAAUUGGCUAAAGUUAAUGAAAAAUUAAAACUCUUCCAAAAUGAAAAAAAUUAAAAGAAAGAUUAAAUAAAUGAAAUAAAUAAGACCUUAACAUGAUGAUAAUAAUAAUACACCUUAUUCAUAAUAAAAUAAAAGAAUCAAAGUAAUAAAUUUUGGAUUAAAUCGAAUGUUUGAAAAAAUCAAAGGGCUACGGGUGUAAAUAAUCCAGAGAGUGAGGGCGGUGCUGCAAAAAAUAGGGUAUUUUUGUAAAUUUAAAAAGUAAGGGGUGGGAAUAAAUUACCUACUUUUGGCACCUAUAAAUGAAAAAAAAAACUAUUAAUUCUUUCAUUUUAACCUCAUUUUUUUUUCAAAAAAAAAAAUCUUCCUCUUUCUCUUCCUCCUUUUAUGUUGGCCAUGGCUCUACCACCGGAGAGCCGUCAGGCUCUCCGGCCUCCGGUGGUGGAGCUACAGCAUACGAUGGUCGGGUUUUUUUUUUGUAAAAUUAAAGUUUUCUUUUAAAAAAUCACUACUUUUCUUAAAAACCGAAACUUUAUUUCAAAAUAGUUGAAAAAAAAUCAAAAGUUUGUUUUAAAAAAUUUAAACUGCUCCUUUAAAAUGUCUAAAAAAUAGAUUUUUAUUUUAAAAAUCUAAACUUUCUCUUUUUUAAAAAAAAUGCUAUUUUUCUUAAAGUUCAAAGAUUUUAUUUUGAAAUAGUUGAAAAAAAUAAAAAAAAUUGUUUUAAAAAUUUAAACCUUCCUUUUAAAAUGAUUAAAAAACAUAUAUAUUUUUUAAAAAUCUAGACUUUCUUUUUUUUUAAAAUCAAAACUUUUCCCAAGAUCAAACUUUAAAAAGAAAAAAAGAAACCUUUAUUUUAGAAAUGGGAGGGAAAAAAACAAGAUUUUUGGGGCUCCUAGGGGCAGAGGACCGACAGUCAGGUGACAUCCCCUUCAUCGGAACCCAAAACCUGAUCCCUCUUGACAUAUCUAUGGCCAAAAAAAAAAAGAUAGAAGAAAAAAAGAGAAAUAACAUGCUUAUUGUUGUUGUUGUUGUUGUUGUUGUUGUUGUUUUACCUUUUUUUAGAAAAAAAAAUAUGGAAAGCCUUUCUCUUUUUCAUUUCAUUUCAUGUUUAUAUAUUGUUUUUUAAUCUUGCUUAUUUGUAAAAGAUGAUGAUAAUAAUAUUUAAUAAUAAUAGUAGUAGUGAUGAUAAUAAUAAUUUGAUCCCUUGACAAGCCCAAAAAAAAAGAAAAAAGUCUCAAAUUGACCAAAAUUAAGUGGGCUUCGAAUGGCCCAACAGAGAACAAAAAUUUAAAUGGGCCUCUAAUUGGACUUGGACAAGAUGGGUGUCUACAACUGUUGCUCUCAUUGUAGAUCCACACUCGAUUAUCCAUCAUAUCUAUUUUUCGCCAAAUCCCAUCUUGAAUAAAACCAACUCCAAAAAAUCCCACCGAACACAGUCAUAUGCUUUAGAAAAAUCCAAUUUAAAGAUCAGAUUGCCCCCUUCCAUCUUUCUCUUUAAUCGAGUGGAUUAUUUCCUUUGCUACUAAAAUUCCAUCAAAUAUUUGUCUUCCUCUAAUGAAUGCACAUUGAGUAUCGCUCACCACCUCUCCGAUGAUCUCCCUUAUUAAUUGAGACAAUACCUUUGCCACUAUCUUGUACAAAGAGCUCACCAAACAAAUUGGCCUAAAAUAAUAUAUUUCGAUUGGAUUUUUAGUCUUGGUAUGAGUGUGAUAAAUGAUGAAUUAGUAGUCCUCUCAAGCUUUUCGGAUAUAAAAAAGUCUAUCAUCAAUCUGAAAUGAUCCUCCUUUACAAUCUCCCAACUUUUUCUAAAAAACACAGGUUAAAACCGUCCAGUCUAGGUGCUUUUGAUUCAUCACAGCUCCAUACUGCCUCUUUAAUCUCAUCCAUCAAAAAUGGUGCCUCCAGUUUCAAAGCCUUCUCCCCAUUUGGCUUUCUAAAAUUCAGUUCCAAGUCCAUUCUCCACUUCCUCACUGGGCAAUUAAAACAAUUUUUGAAAAAUUGUAUUGUCUCUCUUUCAUCUACUUAGGUUCACUGCACCAAUGACUCCCUAUUUUCAAACUAUAUACCAUAUUCCUUUUAGCUUUGAUCUUCGCUGCUCUAUUGAAAAAAUUUGAAUUAGCAUCCCCUUGUUUUAACCAUGUAAUCCUUGAUUUUUGACGCCAAACUGAUUCUUUAAAUUUAAUUGCUUCCCAAAGUUCAGUAUUCAACUUUUUUAAUUCCUCUAUUUCUAACUUAGUCAGUUCUCUGUGUUCACUAGCAUCAUCGAUCUCCUUAAUCCUAUCUUCACUUUCUAUAAUUCUUUUUUCCGAUGCAUUGUCAGCAUCCAAAGGAGAAGGGAAGAGUAGGAGUGGUGAAUAUUAGAAUAAAAAAUAGAGCAUUAUUGGCUAAAUCGAGCUGGAGAUUUGCGAUCAAGAAAAAUGUGUUAUGGAAAAAAGUUAUCCUAACGAAGUAUGUUUUGAGCUUGCAACAGUGCCAAUUUAGGACGACUUGUACAAAAGAUAUGUCAACUGUUUGGAGAGGUAUUGUAGAGAAUUCUAAAGAUGCCAAUACGUCUAAAAGGGUGGGGAAUGAAGCUUUUUGUAGGCGGGUUGGGAAUGGAAGGACGACAAUGUUUUGGGUGGACAUAUGGUGUGGUAAUUGUCCACUAAAAUUGGAAUUUCAAAGGCUGUUUCGCUUAGCAAGACAAAAAGGAGGUACAGUAGCAGAUUACUUGAGAAAUAAUGGAUUUGGUAGAGUAAAGUGGAGUGAACUCUUUACAAGAUCCUUAUUGGAAAGAGAGGAAGAGAUGCUUCGUAGAUUGGAGGAUAAAGUGAGUAGCACGGAGUUAGUUCCUAGUGGAGGAUCGGCUUUGUUGGGUACACGAUCGUAAUUAGGAAUUUAUGGUAAGGAAGUGUGCUAAAUAAUUGAAUUAUUUUGAUAUAAAAUUUUCAAUUGGUGGGAGGCUGAAUGGGAACCGGUGGAAGGAUUUGAUAAAUUAUACUCAUUGUGUUAUAAUAUGAAAUUGGAUAGAAUCUGAAAAAGCUUAUGGUUGAUAUCAAUUUCGGUAGCCUGUUGGACAGUAUGGUUGGCAAGAAAUGGACUUGUCUUUAAAAGAAAGAUGAUGACCAUGGAAACUUUGAUUUUUCAAUCAAAGAUGAGGGCAUUGCUGUGGAUAAGGUCCGCCUAUGAUGAUUUAUUGAUGUAGGAGAGCUCUUGGUGGAUUUGCCCGAACAGGUGCAAGAUAGAUACAAUUAAAUCCAGAUCAUCCUCAUCGAUAUGACGCCCUCCUCCACAAGGAUGUUUAAAGUUCAAUGUAUGUGGGAUAGAAAAUAAGGAUAGUGCAGGUUGUAGAGGUGCUUUGAGAGACAUGGAGGGUGUUGCAAGAGCUCUAUUUUCAAGUCCGAUUGCAACAGAUGGUACUGAUUUGACAGAGGCAGGAGCAGUGCUUUUAGCAUUAGAAGUAUUUAUAUCUCUGGAAUGGAAGAUAAAUGACUCACUGUUGGUAGAAAUUGGUUCUAAAGUGGUGUUCAACUGGUGUACAAACAAGUCGAUGAGACCAUUGUCACUCCAAUCAACAUUUGCAGAUAUUGAGAGGAAAAUUGAGAAGGUAGGUAGUGUUGUAGUUUCAAUGGCAGAAAAGAAAGGAAAUGAAAUGGCCUCAAACUUGGCAAUAGCAGGUAUAAAUCGUGGAGAAAUGUUUAAAGCUAGGUGGUGAGCAUUAGAUUUGAUGUCAAACGUCAGUUUUCUAUUGUUGAAAAUGUUACAUUAUGGGACGCUGUAAAUUUAAACUUUUGAAUGUUGUUCUUGCUGUAUUUACAACAGGUCAAUUCAAAUGAAGAAAAACAAAUAUUUAGUAGGCUUUUUAUUAGUCAAUUUGGAUUUUGGUAAUAGAAAACUAAAAUAUUCAUUAAAAAAAUGGUUGGUUGGAAUUUAAUUUAGAUAUUUCUUAAGGUAGGCAAUUAAAAAAUUGACUUGAUUGGCAUUUUAUGUAGAUAUUUCAUAAGUUUCUAAAGUCAAAUUUUAAAAAUUCGCUUACUUCGCAUUUUAUGAUGAUAUUUUAUUCAAAUAUUUUUAAUGAAUAUGAAAUGUGAGUUUUGCUAUUAAAUUUUGGAUUGUGUUAAUAUGAAAAUUAAAAAUGAUGAAAUUAAAGAGUUUUAAUAGCGAUUUCUCUCUAUGUUGAGAUUCUAGCUCCAAAUGUUGGCAAAUAUUUGAUUGAAAUAAUAUAUGAGAGAUUUGGACGAGUUGUGGAUAUAUUCAUAGUAAAAAAACUGAAGGUGAUACGAUUUUUGUAAAUGAAUGUGAGUUUCAUACAAAAAUAUUUAAGAAACAUGAGAAAUGAAUUAUUUUUAUUUAAGAAAAUAUACUCGUCAAAUUCAUAUCACCAUUUAGUUUAAAAUUUUAAAAUAUUUUUUUAAUAAAAGAAAAAGAAUUGCCAAAUACUUUUUGGAAGCUUUUUUUUUAAUAAAUAAUCAUUUAUUCAUUAUAUAGAUAAAAGGUUGGCAAGAGUGCAAGACUCAUAGUUCCAAACAAACCACAAACAUCAACACCAAAUGAAAGGAAGAAAAACACGAGUACAACAUAUAUCUUAGACCAUUUGACACGGCUAACUAAUUGUAGUAAUAUGAACUUAUGCUAUUGGAUACGAAGCUUUCAUGGCGAUACCACAUAAGCCACCUUUCCUUUCCACAUUCCUUUGAAUCUUCAUAUACCCAUUUUCACCCCAACUUUGUCCCCAUGAAUUCUUAAUCAGCCAAUAGUUUAAACCUUCUUCACUUGUCCCAUAUCCAACAAUGGUGACUGCAUGGGUGAGAGAAUUUCCACAAUCUCCUUUAAACACUCCACCAUUGUAAAACCGAAAGUCUCGUCCAUGGCCUUCAAGUGCAACUGAGACCGGUUGAUUCGUGACGGCUUUAAGCAAUGCUUCUUCGUCGUUUUUAGGCACCAUUUGAUAGCCACUGAUGGUGGCAACUUCGUUUAUCUGUGUGUCGCAAGUUUCUUGCAUUUCUUUAUAUGGGUAGCUUUCUUCAGAGGUUAUUCCUUGGUUUUGGCUAAUGUAAUCGAAAGCAUUCAUCAUCCAUCCUCCUUCGCAACCUUGGUUUCCUCCAUUUCUGCUGCAAUCCAACAGUUGUUGCUCAGAUAAUGGGAUUAAUUUACCAGUUUUGAUUUUGAUUAACCCUUCAACGGCUGCCACUGCUGAAAAUGCCCAACAACAUCCUGCAAAGUAAACCAACAAAUAACCCUUUUCAAGUAUUAGUGAAUAAAUAAAUGCUUGGGGGAGCAGUAUAUAUAAUUAUUUUAAAUUUUUAAUUAAUUUUAGUGUUACGUAUCAACUGAAAACUAACUCGGUUGUGAAAUUAUUAAAAUACUCUCGUAACACCAAUUUAAUCUAGAGUUUUAUGGGUUUAUAUAUAUUAUGGAGACUUACCACAUUGGCCCUGAUUCUUAAUAUGAGUAACGGCAUUUUGGUCCCUCCAAUCGAAGCUUUUCGGAGCGUUUGAGUAGUUUUCAUACAUAAACGGUGUUGAUUCCAACAAUGUGGGAUUGUUCUGCAUCUUGUAUCCAGUGUGAGUUGCAAUGAAUUCAUCCUGUGUCAUGUCUGCAAAUUCAUUGAGGCCUAACUUAAAACUCCUAUUUCCGCCAUUGUUGAAGCUCUCAAUAUAUUCCAAGUUGUCUUUGAAUAUAUUAAGACGCUUCUCCUUCUCUAAUUUGCUCUCAUAUUUUCGACUGAAAUCAACCAUCCAUUGCUCAUGUUUGUCAACAAUGGUGCUUUCAAGAAUUGUUCGACACAUGGCAAGAGAUACCAAUGUCCCAAGAAUUAAAAACAAAAACACAUGGAUUAAACUCAUCAUUUGUUUUUUUUUUUUUUUUGCAAUACAAGCAGAGAUACUUCACUAAUUUAAGGGCUUUUUUCUUUGCUAAUUGCUAAGUUGUGAAGAACUAGCACUCAAUGAACGUAUAUAUAUACUACAAAAAAAUUAUUGAAAUAAAUAUUUUUUUAAUUAAGUCAUCUUAUGUAAAUUCAACUAAAAUGCCAAUCAAGUCUAUUUUUAAAAAAAAAAAAAGAAGAAGAAGAAAAGUAUUUUUUUUCUUAGCAAAAUCCAAAUUUGACAAAUAAAACUCUGCUCACAAUAUAAUAACAAAGAGAAAAUUGUAAUCUUUCUAAUUGAUGAACCCUACUCACAAUAUUUUCUAUUUUUCUUUCUCUUGAAUUGAAAAUCGAUUUUAGGAAAACACCCAAAGUUCACAUUAUGUUAAUUACUACUACAUAUUUUCACUUUUUGACCUUCUAAUCUCUAUUAUUUUGUUAGAAUUGUAACUUUGUGAAAUUAUAUACAAGUUAAUUAUUUUAAUAAGAUUAUGUUUUGUAAUAUAAUUAGGGGAACAUAAGAUGAUGAGUAAUUCCCUUGUUUGGCUCAUUUGGAUGGAAUAUAAGAUUCAAAUGAUUGAUUUACAGAAUGUAAGAUUAUCUAGAAGCACAUUUUAUUAAAUUAUCUUUGUUAUAAAUUUUUUUAACAAGUAUAGUUUCUUUAAUAGUUUUUAGUCUAAAUUUUCAGAAAUUAAUCAUAAAUUAUUAUAUUUUUUUAUUACAGUCUGUAUACUAAUAAGUGUAUAAUAUUUAAAUAAAUUUAUAAAUCAUAAUUAUAAUAAUUAAUGAAAAAUAAUUACGUCACCAAUCAUAAUUAUAACUAUAAUUAAUAUAGUAAUAAAUAAGUUAUUAGAGUAAAUAUAGUAAUUAUAGUUUUAAAGUAUGAUAACUGUUGUUUCACGAUUUAUUAAAAACUUUAAAUUUAUUAAAAUAAUAAAAACAAAGAGUAAGUAUGCCCAAAAUUCAAGAUUAUAUCUAUAAUCUAAGAUAAUCUAACAAAUGAAUUGUAUUAAGAUUACGAUAUCUUGAUACUAUUUUAAGAUGUAAGAUUAAGGGAUGAUUAGAAUAUUGAGAAUCCAAAUAAAAUAAUCUUCUUCUAGAAUGUAACAUUACAUGCAAUAAUGUAAGAUUGAGCCAAUUAAACAUUACAUGAAGUCUUUAGUGAAAUCAUCUAGGCCUUCAUUAUCGUCUCUUACGCCCCACUACAUAAUUGGCGCGCCGAUGAAGCAAAUGAGAAUGUUGACAAGCAGGAUUUGCGCUAUUUUUUCUCUUAAUUUCUUAUGUUUGAUAGUUGCUGCGUGGAAUAGAAAGAUAGACCAGAUGCAAGUCACGGUCAACUGCCCUUAUUUGCAACAGAGCCAGGGUGAUUUUUUUUAUUAAUUUAUUUUGAAUAUUUUUAUGAAAAUAAUGCGUGAACGGACAAAACAAAAUUUUAUUGUGGAUUCAGUUAUUAUAGUAUUUUGAGUUUAAGGUUAACUAAGAUACGAACAGUUUCCUCUGGUUUGCAAAAGUUAUUUCAUCAAUGGUAGUGGGACAUUUAGACUCCACCAUCAUGAGUCGUAGAAUAAUACAUAUUCGUCUAUUAAGAAUGAGGAAUUAAUAAAACAGAAGCAAACCAAGUGAUUGUUUCCUCUGUAGGGAGGACAAGCAAUCUAAGGAUAAGAAAAAGGUUAAAACUUCAAGUUAUCCCAAAGCGAACAAAAAGAAGUAUAAAAACUUAUUAAAAUCUAAGUAUUUUUAUCAACAAGUGUUGGUUACAAUGGUAAGGUAUAUUGCAUUGCAGACGACAUUGUUGGAAGGGACAGUCAUGAACCUAAAACAUAGACCAUAAAACAUACAUGAAUAAUACCCAAAAAAAAGUCCAAGUGUUUCUUUUGUAAUAACAAAAAGAGCACUGCAAGGAAAAAUGCAAAGAGUGUAAGGAUUACCUAGCCUCUAAGGGUGAAGGUAUGAAACUUGAUUAUUGAAACUUGUUUAGCAAAAGACUUAAUAGACCACUAAGUCAUUGAUUAUAGAGUCACUAGUCAUGUUUGUAUUUCUUUGUAGGGGUUUAAGGAAACGAAAAAUCUUCAGGAUAAGAAUCUACCAUUGCGAACCGGAGAUGGGAGCUAUGUGGCUACAAAAACAAUCCGAGAAGUACAUCUUUAUUUUGAUAGUUUUAAGAAGAUUGCUUUGGGAGAUGUUUUCUAUGUACCAAACUUUAGAAGAAAUGUAAUUUAUAUUGCAUGUUUAUUUAAAGACGAUUAUACUGUGACUUUCUGUAAUGGUAUUGCAAUUCAUAGAAAUCAAUCUCUUAUCUCUAAUGGAGGGAUGCAAAAUAAUAUUUAUUUUAUCAAAUCAAAUAUGCACUUACUGCUAGAAAUUGAACUCGUAAAUAAGAAACUUGAAACUUCUCUCUAAUGAGGCAUACUCAUGGCAUCUAAGACUUUAUCAUAUUAAUGAAGAUAAAAUCAUUAGACUUGUGAAAGAUGAGACUUGAAGUUCACUUAAAAAGGUACAUAUUUCAUAAUGAGAGUCCUUCCUUAAAGGCAAAAUGAUCAAGUGACCUUUUAAUGCAAAAGUUACACAAACCGUUCAACCCUUAGAAUUUGUACACACUGAUGUAUGCGGUCUCAUGAACGUUAGUGCUUGAUAUGGUUACGAUUAUCAUGUAACUUUUAUAGAUGAUUAUUCCAAAUUUGAUUUGGUGUACCUAAUGCACUGAAGAGCGAAAUCUACAAUAAAUUCCAAGAGUUUCAUGCAGAAGUGAAGAAACUAUUAGAUUUUCCCAUUAAGGCACUUCGGUCUAAUCGAGGUGAGGACUACUUGUUAGAAGUCUUCUUAGGAUACCUCAUAGAAAAUGAAAUAUUAUCCUAAUUAAUUAUGUUGGGUACUCCACAAGAGAAUAACAUAGCAGAGAGAAGGAAUAGAACUUCACUAGGCAUGGUUUAUUUAAUGUUAAGUGAUUCACAACUGUCAAUAUUCUUUUGAGGAUAUGCAUUAUAGACAACUUGAUAUAUUUUGAAUGAUGUACCAACUAAGACCAUAUAAAACUCCCUACCAAUUGAUAGAGAAAGAAUCAAGAGUAAAGCAUUUGAGGAUUUGGGGAUUCCUAGCCUAUUGGAAAUAUUAGUCUAGAAAAUAGUAUUUUUAAGCAUAGCAAAAGAUUGAUUUUAUUUUAAAUUGAGCCCUUUUUAUAUUUAUAGUAAUAAAUCCAUAACUGAAAUUAUAUUUGUGUUUUAAACGAGGUGUUUAAAGUCAAUCCCACCUUUCUACCGAAUGAUUUUAUUAGCUAUUCUCGAACCCAAAUUGGUUUGAGUGGGGGCUCUUCAUAGAAAAAAAACAUUUUAUUCACUUUCAAUGGGAAAAUUUUAUAACAGGAAACUAUGCGUUUUCCCUAAAAAAAUAUUCUAUAAUAUAAUAUUUCACUAUUUUCUUAAAAAAUAAAGACGCUCAAUAGAGUGUGUACAAUUGGAAAAAAUUUAGGUUUGAAAACAAUUUUCUUACACAACGAAAAAUUAAAAUCUUGAAAAUUGACUCGGUUUGUGAUUUUUAUAGCAAUAAGCCCUAACCAAAUUCAUACCUGUGUUUUCAGCUUAGCGAAUGUUCGCUAUUCUCGACUUUCAACUAAAUGAUCUUCUAUUCUUGUACCACGAACUUCUUCGAGUGUGGGCUCGAACCAAUUGAAUCGAAACACAGAACUAUAAAAAGUUUUCUCUUUUAUUUAGGGUUAAAACAAAAUUUCUCUCUUCUUUAAUAGAAACUGGUAGAAUUCUUAUUCAGGAAAAAUAUGUUUAGUAGUUGAUAAUAAAUUCUCUUUAUUUUUUGGUAGAGUAACAAUCUCUCAAAGUUGUGUAUAAUACCAUACUAUUGUCAUCUAUUUAUAAGAAGAAAAGGUAGAACCAUUGUUUUGUUGUAGUGGUUUAUUUUAAAUAGAAAAAUAAUUUCUUAAUUAGAGUAGUAGUGGGGUGGACGACACACCCUAGUAUUCCUACUAGGGUUGUCACCCCCUUCAUGUUAUAUGAGGGGUUUUGGGCCUCUCUCACACCGGGUCCAAUUACGAGUACUUCUUAAACCUUUUGAAUCAGUACUCUAUAAUGUGAUCCAACUAGAUUUGGUUUUUCUAUUUACCAAAAUAAACUUUAAUAUUCUAUAUUAAAAAAAUUUCUCAUCCCUAUUUUACCCCCAAUAAAAAUUUAACGAUUUUCCCCAUUGUAAAAUUUUUGGCAAUUUUUCUCCUAAUAAAAGUUCGAGAAUAUAUAUUCAAUAUUUCAUAACUCAACAUGUUCACUGUGACUAAAUGAUUUAUUUUCAUUUUUGGGCUUCAAAAUAACUCAAAAAUAUAAACUUGUUUUUCCAAUCAUUUUUAAGUAAUCCAUAUAGAAUUGCAAAUGGAUCAUUUCCAUUUCCAUUUCUAUUUCCAUUUUUUGAAACCUACAUUCAUUUAAAAAUGAUUCCAUUUUUUCAUUUUGAAAAAAUCAUAAUCAUUCAUGAAUGUUUUUCAUUUCUCUUUUGCUUUUCAUUCUAUUCAUUUCUAUUCAAACUCGCAAUUCAUUUCUAAUUUCAACAAGCUAGCAGAAGGACUGAUUGUAUAUAUGUAAUUAGGGCUGAAAUGAUUUGUAAUUAAGUUUUCGCUUACCGCCUGUUACUUAUAAACACAUUUCGUCACAAAUUCAUUCCACUAUAGUAUCGUUAUUGAGCUCUACCUAAAGGCAUACCAUUACAAAAGCAACUACUUUAGUGCUCGUCCAAUGACAUUUUCAUAAGUGUGUCACCCUCAUAGGAUAUCCUUGAUCUUUUUGGGAUAAUAUCUGCUCUCCCAAUAUGAUCCUUUUUUUUCUCAUGGUAACCAUUACAUCUUCCUUCAUGAAAAAUCAUUCACUAUUGUCGAAACCAUUUUUUUGAUAAAACGGGUUCGACUUAAAUUGUGAAAACGAAAAUGGAGUCGCCACCGAUCCUUUUUGUUAGGUGUGAUCGGAUCACCUCGUAAUAGUUGUUUUAACAAAAUAUUUCGAUUUUAUCAAAACAAUGAUUUUGGUCUGGGAGUCGGUUACGCACGAGGAAGGGUUAGCACCCUUGAUGCGCCCAAAAAUUGGUACCUAAUCGAUUAAUAGAUGUCUAAAUGCCGAAAGUUGAAAUUUUUAAAAAAAUUUAAAAUACGAUCUUUUUUUAUUAAUGUAAGUUUAGAAAAAUCAUUUGAGCAAAUUAAAAAAAGAUCACAGACCCGCUUAUACCAAAGUAACGAAAUAUUGCAUCACGUAAGUUAGGACGCGGUAUUUGAAACUUUAGAGAAUAAGCUUGUCUUGAAUUUUAUUUAUAUUUCAUAUUUUGAAAUUUAGGAAGACAUUUCGCUGUUUAGGUUUGAUGAGAAAAAUUGAAACCCCGUGAGUUAGAGCACGAUUUCUUGGGUUACCUAAACGCGAACCGUUACCUUAUAAUGAAAUUUUUCAUUUUUGAAAUUUUAAGAAGGAUACUUUGUUAUUUAGGUUUAGCGAUAAAAUCGAAACCCCGUAAGUUAGGGUACGAUCUCUCGAAAACGCAAAGUUAUUGCCUUAUCGAGAUUCCUUUCAAUUUUUUUGAAAUAUUUUAAAAGGAUAUUUUGUUAUUAGUUUUAACGAGAAAGACCAAAACCUCGUAAUUUAGGGCACGGUUUUUUUCGUAUUUCUAACAUGCAAAAUAUUUCUUUAUUUUGGGAAAUUUUUCUUUUUGAGUAAAUAUGAAUAAAAUACUUAAGGGGCACAUGUGUAGUUCAUUAUGCUUUCAAAGAAAUCGUUAACACGUAAAAGGAACUAUACAUGGCUAUUAAUAAUAAUACAACAUACAUUGAAACAAAGGCCUAAUAUGCAUCAUAAAAUAAAAAUGUUUUAAUAAUACAACAUACAUUGAAACAAAGCCUAGCCUUGGAACCUCGUCGUCGUCUGCCGCAUCUUCACUGCAACACCACCGAGGACAGUGGCCGGAGAUAUGCGAGAAAAGGGCUUUUUAGCCCGUGCCCGUAAGAAAAGAAGAACAAAAAGGGGUUCUUCAUCGUCCCCUUCUUAAAACGAAGCCCAGGUACGUUUCUUUACUUUUUUUAUAUUUUUGAAUGUAUAUAAAAGAAUAAUAAAAAUAUUAAAAAGAAAAUUGCAUAAAUAUUGAAAACAGAAAAACGAAAGUACAAAAUCACCUUAGUUUUUGCUUUUUUAUUUCUAAUGUGCGUAAAAAUAUACAACGAGAAUAUUUUGGCUUUUAUAGCCAGGUUACAGCCCUUUAAUUUCUAUCUUUUUGUCAUCUUGCUAUUUAAAUUCUCUGUUGUUGCAUGUGGUUCGUUUUGCAGAUGUCAGACACGUGGAUGGCCAAUGAUAUGUGAGUCUUGAGCGAUGUCGGCGUGCGCGAGGGAGGCUGGCAGAACGUGAGGCACUGGGGCAGUGGGCAGAGGCGUACGGUGCUGAGGCAUUAGGCAGAGGCGUGCAACGCCUUAGGGUUUGCUUCUCUGCUGAAUGUUUGUUGUGGGCUGAUGUUGAUUUGGGCUUAAGGUUAUUAAUUGGUCUUGGGUUGUUGUUUGGGCUGGAUUUUGGGCUUGUUUUUUAUUUAUUAUUUUUUGGUUUUAUUUUCUGGUUUUGGCACUGGGCCCGGGUAAAAUUGGGCUAUUAUAACUAUCAAAUAAUGAUCAAGUCAUCCAUCACAUAGAGGAACGACAUGUUGCCACGUUUACUUUUAAUCAACCAUGUAAUGCAUAUGAGAUGAUAUCAUUUAUCCAUGUCUCGACCUAUGACUUUCACUAUUGUGAAUGACGCUAUAUACUGAAGAAGUCAUACACCCAAUGAAUUAGCUUUCAGUUUCGUAUCUAUUUGAACUCGAGUUUUUACUUACAUCAAAGUGUACAUAAUAAUUGUAACCUUCUCUUGCACUAAUACUCAUGGGGCCACAUAAGUUAGUUUGAACAAGUUAUAGGGGUUUUCUGACCCUUGAUCCUUUUCCAUUAAAAGAUCGCUUAGUUAUCUUACCUUCCAAGCAAGAUUCACAUUGUGGAAGAUCAACUUCUUUAAGCGAACUUAAGAUGUCAUCUUUGACAAGUCUAGUGAGUUUUUCUCAGUUAAUAUGACCAAGUAUCAAAUGCCAAAGGUAUGCAUUAGAGUGAGAAGUUUUAAGUCUUUUAUUUGAUAUUUUAGUCUCAAGUAAUGUGAAAGUCUUUGGUUUGAUAAAAUAAAGAUUAUUGACAUCCACCCAUUACAAUUAAGAUUGUGAGUCCAAAAUAUUACAAUUCCAUUGUUAAAAGUCACGGUCAACAUAAAUUAAGAUUGCGAUUUGAAAAUAUUGCAAUUCCAUUACAGAAACAAGCAACAUAAAUUACAUUUCUUUUGAAAUUUGAUACAUAGAAAACGUCUCUUAAAAUAAUCAUCCUAAAAUUUUCAAAAUAAAGAUGUACAUCUCCCAUUACUUCAUCUACCACACUUGUCCCGUUCCUAGACCACAACGAUAAGCUCUUAUAUCUAAGAUCCUUUCUUUCCUCAAACCCCUAUAAAUAAACACAAACAUGAUUAGAGGCUCCCGAAUCAAUGACAUAGUGCUCUAUUGAAUCCUUCACUAAACAAACUUCUAUCAUCAAGAGUUCCAUGCCUUUAACUUUGGUGGUCAAAUAUUCCUUCCACUAUUUACAUUUUGGCUUGAAGUGUCCUUUCUUGUUGCAGAAGAAGCAUCUAGACUUAGAUAAGUCUUUCAGCUUCCUAGUUCUCUUCCUUUCCACAUAUGGUGGCCUCGAGACCAUAGCCAUGCCUUUCUUAGCACGCUUUGUAACAACCCUUACCCGUCUCUGUCACCUGAUUAGGGUUACGAAAUGCUACCAUACAAAAUAGGAUAGAAACAAGCUAUCACAAUUCAAAUUUUAUUUUUAAAAAAUUAUUCAUUAAAAUCUUGAAAAUCUACAAUAAAUUCCAAGAGUUUCGUGCAUAAGUGAAGAAACUAUUAGAUUUUCCCAUUAAGGCACUUCGAUCUAACCAAGGUGAGGAAUACUUAUUAAAAGUCUUCUUAGGAUACCUCAUAGAAAAUGAAAUAUUAUCCUAAUUAAUUAUGUCGGGUACUCCAAAAGACAAUAACAUAGCAGAGAGAAGGAAUAGAACUUCACUAAGCAUGCUUUAUUCAAUGUUAAGUGAUUUAAAUUAGUUCUAAACAAUAGUAUAUUGUCAAAAUUUGAAGCACAAUUAUAACUAUUUCAUAUAAACAAGUCUACCAAUUCUAAUUUAUUAAACAAAAAUUAUCUUAAUUAAAAUGUUAUUUCAAUAAAAUGUUUAAAUUUCACCUAAAAAAAUCUAUUAAUCAUAUUUUAUUAAAUGAAAAUAAUCUUCAAUGAGUGGAAUUAAAUAUAUCAAUUCAAUAAACUAUUAUGUUCCCUGAUUAAAUACUUUACUAUGAAUUUGGAACAUUAUAAACUUAUAAAUUCAUUACUUGAAUUUAAUAACUUAUUAUUAAUUAAUUUAUUUAUUUAAUUUGAUAACUUAUAUUGAUUAAUUGAACUUGUUAGAUUUAUGAACAACAUAAUUAGUCAUGUGAAAGAAUGUACAGUAAAAGAUGCAUAAAAAUAAUAAUGUGUGCACCAACUAUAUGUUUUUUUUUAAUUUUGUUGUUUGGAUCUUUAAUUCUUUUUUUCUGAACAUAAUUUUUAUUUUUUUAUUUGAUGGAAGUACAUAGUAUAAAUUUUAUGCAAGUGUAUAACAAUUGUCUUUCUAUACUAGACAAAUUCUUGAAUAAAGUUAUUAUACAGAAGGUUCGACUGUUUAAUCAAAAUCUAAAGUCUUUAGUGAAAUCAUCUAGGCCUUCAUUAUCGUAUCUUACGCCCCAUUACAUGAUUGGCGGGCCGAUGAAGCAAAUGAGAAUGUUGACAAGCAGGAUUUGCACUAUUUUUUCUCUUAAUUUAUCCAAUUCUCUAUAAUAGUCACCCGUUAUAAUAAUAUUUUAUUAUAAUAGUUAAGUUUCUAGUGGAAUCAGUUUUUUUAUGUUUUAUUUUAAUCUUGUAUAAUAGCAAGAGAUACCAAUGUCCCAAGAAUUAAUUUUUCCUAUAGGACAUGCUUUCAGUUAUGUUAGCUAUAGGACGUGUUUUGGUAUAAAUUAACAAUUCAACUUUGUUGGUUAGAUGGUUAAAUAUUAAUAUUUUUGUUCUUAAAUUUCGUGUUUGAUUCGUCUUCUACUCAAGGACAAAAGUAUUAACAUUUAACCAUCUGAUCAAAAGAGUUGCGUUAUCAAUUUUUAGGAUGCGCUUUCAGCUGAUAUGACUGAAAGCAUAUCCCGUAGGUCACGUUUUUCUUUCUUUCUCCAAAAACAACAUAUUUUUUUUCUUUUUCAGCAUAUAUACAUAAAUUAGCCUUUUAAACCAUACUUGAGUAUCAAAUAAUAUUUCAGUAUUUUUUAUAGGAAAUGUUUAAAUCAAAUAACUAAAAAGAGAAUAAAAAACUCAAAUGUAAAAGGGUUGAUGAGAUUAUUCAUAAAUACGAAAUUUGUUUUUAUAAAUAUACUUACAUAAAUACAUAAUGGAUGUGACAUAGUUGAUGUUUGUUUUUAUUUUUCAUGUGUAGCACUAUCAAAUCUACUUGCACCAAAAUUCUAACCCAUACGAUAAUUCAUUACUUUAGUUGGCGCAGCAAAUAAUGAGAGCGGGAUUUGUGCCCAAAAUUAUCUUAUUUUCCAUUGUGUGAUUGGAUGACAACUUCCAUCCCUCCAUGCCUCAAAUAUCUAAACAUACAUUGAAAUCAAUUUUUCUUAUAUUUCUUAAUUCCUUUACUUCUUAACAAUUCUCCCUCUUUGUCUCAGAUUUAUGUAUAAUUUAUCAAGAGUCUACCUUUUUUUUAAUUCUUAAAUCUAAAAUCUUAAUAUUAAUCACUUCAAAUAUUCAUAUAUAAUGGGCGUCGAAAAUAAGUUUUAUAUACCACUAACUAGUUCACUUUCCAAGUAAGGAUAUAAGUCCCAAUUGUUGACACCAUUUUUUUUAUUCAAAACGGGGUUGACUUGGGGUUUUGAAAAAUGAAACGGGAGUCGCCACCAAUCUUUUUUUAUGAGGUGUGAUUGGAUUACCUCGAAAAGUGGUUGUUUUUAAUAAACGGUUUGAUUUGAUUAAAACAAGUUUGGUCCACGAAAUUCAGAAAACGGGUUCGGGAGUCGGUUACGUACGAGGAAGGAUUAGCACCCUCGUAACACCCAAAAAUUGGUACCUAGUUGAUUAACUAAUGUCUUGAUGUCGAAAAUUGAGAACUUUGACGAAUUUUAAAAAUACGAUCCUUGUAUUAAAACGUUGAAAAUUUCCAGGAAAAGGGGCAUAUUUCACGUUAUUCGAGAAAGAGGAUCAUAUCCAGUAAGUUAGGACACAAUGUCUCGAAUUCUCGAUACGUAAAUGAAUGCCAAAAUUUUACUUAUUUAAAAGACAUUUUAUUAUCUCGAGUUUAGGAAAGGGAUCAUGCCCAGUAAGUUAGGGUACGAUUCUCUCGAAUCUAAACACGAAAUAAUAUUUAUUCAAAACAAAUUUUGUUAUAUCGAGUAAAAUAAAACAUGAAAAUCGUAGUAAAAACAUGUGAAAGCAAAUUACAUUGUUAUGAUGCAUAGCUGAACCAUAAUGGGUACGAAAAUAUGAAAAUGAUACAAACAAUAGCACAAUAUAAAAUAAAUAAAAGGUUAAAUCUACAACGUUCAAAAUAACGAUCAUAUAUAAACGAAUUAAAUUAAAGCAUGCAUCCGAAAUAAUAAUGAAGAUGAAGUAAAUAAAUACUGAAUACAAUUCAAAAUGUAAAGAGGUAUGUAUACGUAUGUAAAUAUAAAUUAAAAUAUGUAUGCAUAUGUGAAUUAUAAAAUAUGUAGAAAAUACCUAUGUAGAAUAUAUUUUAAAAUAUAAAGAAUAUAAAAAAGUACAUAUAGGUGUAAGUAUGUAAAAUUAUGAAACAUAAAGAAUAUAUAAAAAAUUGUAUAUUUUUUGAAAGUAUGAAGUGUAUGCAAGUAUGUGUAUAUAUAUAUAAUAAAGGUGUAUGAAAGUAUAUUUUAUACACGUGUAUUUAUAAAAUGUGUAUAAAUAUAUAUUGAUUUACCAAUACAUAUGGAUAUAUAAUUAUAGAAUAUAUAUAUAAAAUAUUUACAUAUAUACGUUUAUGCGUAUAUAAAAGUAAGCUAUUAUAAAAUAUGAGCAAGCAUAAUACAUAUAUAUAGAGAGAAUAAAAAUGAAGUUGAAAACAAUAUAAAACUACUUAAUAUAUUAAUAUAAUAGUAACAAAAUAAAUAAACAGAAAAUAAAGCUAAUAAUAAUUAAUAAUAGUAGUAAUAAUAAUAAUAGUAAUAAUAAUAAUAAUAACACUAAAAUAAUUAAUUAAACAAUAAAAUUGCUAAAAAGGGUUUAAAUUGAAAUAAAAACCUAAAUACUGGGCGAUUUUGAUAUAAAUAAAAACUAAAAGGAUUAAAUUGCAACACACGCCAAACAUAGAGGGACCAAAAUAGUAAAUAAGCCGAAGCCCCGAAACGCGGCGCAACAGUGGGCCAAAUUGGAACAAAAAUAAAAUUCUGGGGCUAAAUUAAAAAUAAAAGGAAAUAGCGAAAUAGGACCAAAUUAAAACACGCCGCAAAUCGGAGGGACUGCACACGCAAAUAUCCCCCUUAUCGAAAACGCGCGGAUCCUCCCCAAGGUCGGGUCACCGCGCGGGUCAGAGACCAAAAUGACACCGUUUUGGUCUCUGAACCCUAAAUUCAAAAACGGCACCGUUUUACAGGGUAUUUAAACCCAUUUUUACAUCAAAAAAACACUUCAGCCGUUUUUAAAAAAAUAUAAAAGGGGAGCCCCUUUUCUCCCUAAGAAGUCCGGCCAUGUGGGUUUCCUUGGCCCCUGUUGCACCGCCGCUCGGCUCGCCGCACCGCCACCACCCCGACGACUGGCGAAGCGCCAGAAAGACGUUCAAAGCCCCAUCCUCCGGUGAGUUUCCUUUUUCCUUUCUUUUUUUUGAUUAUAAAUAUAUUAUGUAUAUAUAAGUAGAUGAAUAAAAGAAAAUAAAUAAAUAAAAGGUUUAAAAUCUGUAAAAAUGAAAACAAAAGGGAUCAGAAAUCACCUUUGAAACUUAUCUUUUAUUACUUUGGUAAUAUUUGUAUUUUUUUGAUACCUCAAAUUCUAACCCAAGAAGAAGAAAAAAACGGGGUACAUAUUAGGCUUUUUAUAGCUGAUUUUUGGCUACUGUUUCUGUUGUCUUUUUGUGUUGUUUUCUUUUUUGCAGGUGACCGGCGGCGCAAGUAGGGUGAUUGGAGCAAGUGGUGGUAGGUGCGACGCAGCAGUGGCGGUGGCAGAGGAGGCCAAGGGUCGAAGAGGGCGACGCCUAGGGUUUCAGUCUCUGAAACCCUAGGCUAAUUUUUUUAGAGAAAAUGGACCUGGGCUAUUGGGCUCCGGGUUUGGGUUAGGGGCAUUUAGGUUUGGGCUGGGUCUGCUGGGUUUGGUUUAAUUGUAAUUGGGCUUGGUGUAUUUGGGUAGGUUAAUUUGAAUUAAGCUUGGGCAUUGGGCCGGGCAAAAUAUGGGCUUCACAGCUGCCCCUCUUUGCUCGUUGUCGUGUAACGAGAACAGAGAAAAGACUAAAAAAGACCAAUUUUGCCCGGUCUCACCGGAUUUCGACUUCUUUUGACGCUUCUCUUCUUCAAGUAGCCACAUUUCAAUCCACUGUGUCUUGUCGCUUCAAUCCGCUCUACUGCACUUCAGCAAGAUCUGACUUGUAGCUUCAAUCUUCUUCAUAGCAACUUCAGGAGACGAGAUUCAUGGUUUUGGUCUACUCCACUGCAACGUCAGGGAGAUAAGGCUGGAUGCGAUCUGCUCUACUGCAACUGCAGAGAGAUAAGUUCUGUGGUUUUAAAUCCGCUCCACUGCAACUUUAGGGAGAUAAGAUUGGCUUCUUCUGUCUGUUUAACUGCAAUGUCGGGGAAGUAAGAUUCGCCAUCAUAACUUCAAUCUGUUUGACUGCAAUGUCGGGGAAGCAAAAUUUGCUGUCGUAGCUUCAAUCUGUUCCACUGCAUCGCCUGGGAAGUAAGAUUCGCCGUUGUGGCUUCAAUUUUUUUAAUUGCAAUGUCGGGGAAGUAAGAUUCACCAUUGUAGCUUCAAUAUGUUCCGCUGCAUCGCUUGGGAAGUAAGAUUCACCGUUGUGGCUUCAAUCUUUUGAAUUACAAUGUCGGGGAAGUGAGAUUCGCCAUUGUAGCUUCAAUCUGUUCCGUGGCAUCGCUUGGGAAGUAAGAUUCGCCGUUGUGGCUUCAAUCUUUUGAAUUGCAAUGUCAGGGAAGUGAGAUUCGCCAUUGUAGCUUCAACUUAUUCCGCUGCAUCACUUGGGAAGUAAGAUUCACCGUUGUGGCUUCAAUCUUUUGAAUUGCAAUGUCGGGGAAGUGAGAUUUGCCAUUGUAACUUCAAUCAUUGUAGCUUCAAUCUGUUCCGCUGCAUUGCUUGGGAAGUAAGAUUCGCCGUUGUGGCUUCAAUCUUUUGAAUUGCAAUGUCGGGGAAGUGAGAUUUGCCAUUGUAGCUUCAAUCUGUUCCGCUGCAUCGCUUGGGAAGUAAGAUUCGCCGUUGUGGCUUCAAUCUUUUGAAUUGCAAUGUCGGGGAAGUGAGACUCGCCGUUGUAGCUUCAAUCUGUUCCGCUGCAUCGCUUGGAAAGUAAGAUUCGCCGUAUGAUCUGUUCUUUGGGGAACAUGACCUAUAUGAACCUAUUUAUGCCUAGUGAUCAUGAUCGAAAAUGAAUCAGAAUAUCCUGGCUAAAUGUGUAUGCAUGAAUGCAAAAUGAAAAUGAUCUUUCAAUGUUUGAGUUAUUAUUGUCCCUUGCUCAAUAAGGUCUUUUUGCCAACGCGUCCGAAUGCUAUCUUGUCCGGUUGGUAAUGCUCAUCUCUUACUUGGUCAGAUUGCCCCAACUAUAAUCUUCAAAGUUCAACUCACUGAAUGCAAAAUGUGAAUCAUCUUUCUCCCUCUGUGACCCAAUAAUAGAAAGACCUGGCCUUUUCUCGUUCCUCUGUUAUCAUAAUUCAAUGAUACAGAAUGUGAAAACUCUUUGGUCUCCUACACUAUUCCCAGGGUGUCAUACCAAAUGUUUAUACACAAUUGCAAAAUUUUCUCCAAAAAAACCUCUUUUCAUCACUUGGUGAUUAUUGAAGCUUUGUCACCAAUAUGACAUCUUGCCAUUUUGUUUAAUCCAUGUUUGGACAACAAAGUUUGAAAGGAUAGUCCUAUCUUAGACUUUUUCCUUUUAGGCACUUUAGAUUUGGUGUGUUCUAAACAACAGUCCUGUUUCAGGUUCCUUCAUUUUUUAGAAAUUUCUAGAGUAAUAUGCAAAACUCCUUUUGCUUGAACAUUCAGUCCAUUAAUCGUUAUUUCAAAUGUUUUGAACAAGAUUAUCACAAUGGACCAACAAAAAUGUUAUUGAGAACAAAUCUCAAAAUGAAUAAGUUAGUUAAGAUGACAAAUUUUGCUAAGAUAAAAAACAAUAGAUAAAAUGGAAUUUUAUUGGGGAGCAAAACUUGAAAUGAAUACAUUAAUCAAGACAACAAAUUUUGCCAAAAUUCAAAAUAUAUAAGAUGACGACAGGUGCCCUAGAUAUCGCAGCAUGAGCUUCUCUGCAUAAGCUUUAAUAUGUGUUUAGGGAAUCUACAAUAUUUUGUCGAUGCCCCAAGAUGUCGCCUAUCCUUUCUUACUGAUUCAAGUAUAGUGAGACCUCCACAUGCCCCAGAUCUUGAUCAAAAUUUGAGCUAUUUCGUUCACUUCAUACCUCAUCAAAAUUUGAGUCGCCUUUUUUAGGUUUUCAACUCAAAUCCCCUUUGGUCUCAAGGCGCCCUUUAUGGGUUUUCACCUUGGCCUCUCCUUUUUUUUAAGCGAAAUAUUUCUUGACUGAAUUUGAGUUUACAGGAUUUGGCAGGUUUUUACCAUCCAUCUCGCUCAAGAUCAAAGCUCCUCCAGAAAAGGUCUUUUUUACCACAUAAGGACCUUCCCAAUUUGGCAUCCAUUUUCCUCAAAAAUCUUUUUUUAGAGGAAGAAUUAUUUUCAAAACCAGGUCCCCCUCGUAAAAUUCUCUGGGAUGAACUUUUUUGUUAUAGGCUCGUAUAAUUCAUUUCUGAUACAUCUGACCGUGACGAAUAACUUUUAACCUCUUUUCUUCUACCAAGUUUAGCUAGUCAUAUCGAGAUUGAAUCCAUUCAGCCUCAUCUAACUUUAGUUCAGCUAAUACUCGGAGAAAAGGGAUUUCUACUUCUAUGGGUAAAAACGCCUCCAUUCCAUAGACUAAAGAAAACGGUGUUGCCCCAGUAGAGGUCCUAAUGGAGGUACGAUAUGCCAGGAGGGCGAAAGGUAAUUUCCCGUGCCAGUAUUUGUAGGUUUCAGUCAUUUUCCCUACAAUUUUCUUGAUAUUUUUGUUAGCUGCUUCUACGGCACCAUUCAUUUUUGGGUGAUACGGUGACGAAUUAUGAUGUCUGAUCUUGAACUGACUGCAAACUUCUGCUAUUAAGUUGUUGUUCAAGUUCAGCGCAUUAUCGGAUAUGAUCUUUUCAGGCAUCCCGUAUCGACAUAUGAUCUCUUUUUUUAGAAACUUGCUAACCGCUGACUUCGUGACAUUAGCAUAUGAAGCAGCCUCCACCCAUUUAGUGAAAUAAUCAAUAACCACAAAGAUAAAACGAUGCCCAUUAGAAGCCUUUAGAGAUAUUGGCCCGAUGACAUCCAUUCCCCACAUGGAGAAAGGCCAUGGAGAAACCAUAACAUGAAGGGGUGAAGGUGGUGCAUGCAUUUUGUCACCAUAAAUCUGACAUUUAUGGAACUUUUUGGCAUAAUUAAUGCAAUCCCCUUCCAUGGUUGACCAAUAGUACCCAAAUCUCAUAAUUUGUUUAGCCAUCGUGAAACCAUUGGCAUGCGUCCCACAGAUACCUUCAUGUACUUCUUCCAAAAUUUUCUUGGCCUCGACAGCAUCCACACAUCUCAACAAUACUUGAUCUUUUCCCUUUUUGUACAAGAUAUCCCCAUCUAGGACAUAAUCAAUGGCUAAUCUCCUUAACGUCCUCUUAUCAUUUUCCGUCGCAUGGUCGGGGUAUUCACGACUUUUUACAUAUCGCAAUAUGUCCUGAUACCAGGGGUGAUCAUCUUUUUCCUCUUCAUCAUCAAUAUUGUAACAAUGGGCUAGAGUCUCAUGAAUACUAAUCUGGAUAGGCUUCAUAUCUUCUGGUUUGUUCACUUUGAUCAUAGAGGCUAGAGUGACCAAAGCAUCUGCCAUCUGGUUUUCAUCUCGUGGGAGAUAAUAAAUGGUGACACUGACAAAUUCCUCAAUCAAUUCCAAGACCAAUUUUUGAUAACAGACUAACUUCGGGUCUUUCAUUUCCCAUUCCCCUUUUAGAUGGUAAAUUACUAAUGCGGAGUCCCCGUAUACCUCUAGCACCUUAAUUUUCCGCUCUAUGGCUGCCCGGAUGCCAAUAAUGCAAGCUUCAUACUUAGCCAUGUUAUUUGUGCAAUCAAAGUCCAAUUUGCUAGUGAAAGGGUAAUGAUCUCCAGUAGGGGACACAAGUAUUGCCCCAAUUCUGUUGCCUAUAGCAUGUGAUGCUUCGUCAAAAUUCAGCUUCCAAGGACCACCUUCUUGAAAAUCUUUUUCUGCAAUUGCAACAUACAUCAAAUCCUCAUUUGGGAAAUCGAAGUUUAGUGGCUCGUAAUCCUCCAGAUCUCUACUUGCCAGGAAGUCCGCUAUUGCACUCCCUUUUACCGCCUUUUGGUUCACAUAGACUAUGUCAAAUUCAGAUAGAAUAAUUUGCCAUCGGGUCAUUCUCCCAUUCAGAGCAGUUGACUCCAUCAGGUAUUUUAGAGGGUCCAACUUAGAGAUUAACCUGGUUGUAUGGUACAACAUGUAAUGUCUCCAAGUUGUCCAGAUCAGGGCACAACAUAGCUUCUCAAUUGGCGAAUAUCUCGUUUCGCAUUCAGUGAACUUCUUGCUGAGAUAGUAGAUUGAUCUUUCUUUUCGUCCUGACUCAUCAUGUUGACCAAGCACGCAUCCCAUAGAAUUUUCAAAUACUGCCAAAUACAGUAUGAGCGGCUUGUCUGGCAGGGUGGCAUCAGCACUGGGGCGUUGGACAAGUAAUGUUUGACUUUUUCAAAAGUUUUCUGACAUUCCUCAUCCCAUACUCCUGGAUUGUGUUUCUUAAGGAGACGAAAUAUAGGGUCGCAUUUCUCGGUUAGCUGUGAAACGAACCGAGCGAUAUAGUUUAGUCUUCCUAGAAAACCUCGAACCUCUUUUUGAGUACGUGGUGGAGGUAAUUCUUGUAUUGCCCUUACUUUGUCAGGAUCAAUCUCAAUUCCUCUCUCACUGACCACGAACCCCAGCAAUUUUCCUGAUCUGACUCCGAAUGUGCAUUUCGCUGGAUUUAGUUUUAGCUGAAAUUUUCUCAACCUUGUAAAUAAUUUCUUAAGGACCUGCACAUGUUCCUCUUCUGUUUUAGACUUUGCAAUCAUGUCAUCAACAUAGACUUCUAACUCUUUAUGCAUCAUAUCAUGGAACAGUGUUACCAUGGCCCUCUGAUACAUUGCCCCCGUAUUUUUCAACCCAAAUGGCAUCACUUUGUAACAAAAGGUCCCUCAUAGGGUUAUGAAUGUAGUUUUCUUCAUAUCCUCAGGAUGCAUCUUGAUUUAGUUAUAUCCAGAGAAACCAUCCAUGAAAGAAAACAGCGAAUGCCCUGCUGUGUUGUCUACCAAGGCGUCGAUGUGCGGCAAGGGGAAGUUAUCUUUUGGGCUAGCCUUAUUUAAAUCUCUAUAAUCUACACACAUCCACACCUUCCUAUCCUUCUUAGGGACAGGUACGAUAUUGGCUUCCCACUCGGAAUAUUUGACCACUUGCAGGAAUCCAGCAUCGAAUUGCUUUUGCACCUCCUCUUUUAUUUUUAAUAAAACAUCAGGCCUCAUUCUUCGGAGUUUUUGCUGAACAGGCUUGUAAUCUGCCUUUAUAGGAAGACGGUGAACUACGAUAUCAGUGCUUAACCCAGGCAUAUCUUGGUAUGACCAUGCGAAGACAUUUUUGAACUCUCGAAGCAACUCAAUGAGGUCUUGUUUUACUUCUUCAGUUAUGCACGUGCCAAUCUUCACCACCUUUCCCUCUUCUAGGGUCACCGUCUCUACCGUCUCCUCAUGAGGCAGGAUUUAUUUUUCUUCCUGCUCUACCAUCCUCAAUAGGUUCGGAGAUAGGUUGCAAUCUGUGUUAUCUUCAAAAUCUUGAGAUUGCUCUAAACACAUAUCUCGGUCAAAAGAAUUUUCUGAGUCCAUAGUAGAGUCACUCAUGUCAUUGAUAUCUUGGGACCUGUUAUGGGUACCGAAGAAUGUACAGGGAAUGUAUGAAUUUAAAAGUUCUUAUUUAGUAUGAUUAUGAAUUAAUGAAUGAAUGAUUUGGAAUAAAAGGCAUUCAAGAUGACUAUUCAUGCGAAAUAAUGAAAAGAGUUUCAAAAUAAUAUAUACUCAAAAAGAAAAUACGAUGAUAUAUUUCAUUGAAGUCACAAUGUUCAAACAUAAGCCCAUUUCAUUUCACAAAAGUUUUCAUUUUCUCUAGGCUUAAACAGUUAGUAUGUCUUGAAUAUUACUCUGGAAAAGCUCUAAAAACUUCAGGCAUUUCUUCUGCAGUCCAAUUGUUUAAAACACUCCCAGGUUCAAAGGGACAGAUGCCUGAUGUACUUCCUUCUUUAGAUUCUUCUUCAAAUAUGGCAUUGAUGUUCAGGUUUCCUAACAUCUCCUCUGUGGUAUUCUCUCUUGGAAUCCUUAGUCUAGAAUACAUGGUCCCUCCCGAUACGAAGGUCCUGGAUAAGUGGGGAAAAGCCAUAGGUUCCCAAUCAACUUUUUCUCCAUUCAAACGCGCCUUCCUCCUCUCUUGUCUUUUCUCCAACUCUUUUGUUCUUUGCUUGGCAUUUGGCUUAAACCCUAAACCAAAACGAUCUUGUUUGUCCUUCACCACUGGUGCGUCUAUCCUUUCUUGAAGACAUCUUUCCAGUCCUCUUCCAGGCACAGGUCCUUUCCCAACUGUCAUUCGUAGUCCCAUCCUCGUGGCCCUAAAUAUGCUGGGCAUCAGGAUCUUCUUUCCCUCAAUGACAAAGGUCGCAUUUACGAACUCUAGGGAUCAAAAGGAACAUUCGACCGCCUCAUCAUUCAUUCCCAAGUACGGUGCAUCACUUGUUACCGAUGCAAUGAUGUCUUUGUCAGCAUUAAUCGUAAUCAACCGGCCUUCUGUUACCAAUUUCAACUUCUGGUGCAAUGAUGAAGGCACCGCCCCCGCUGAAUAAAUCCAGGGUCUUCCCAACAAGUAAUUAUACGAAGGCUUGAUAUCCAUUAAUAAGAAGUCCACCUCGUAUGUAUUCGGGCCAAUCCAGAGAGGUAUUUCUAUUCUUCCUAUUAUGCUCAUUUCAGUACCAUCAAAUGCCCUCACUAUGUUCUGGCAUGAUUUCAUGUGGGAGCUGUCCACCGGCAAUCUGCUUAAGGUGGAUAGGGGCAAGACAUUCAGGGCUGAUCCAUUAUCAAUCAACACACCUGGUAACAUAUAUUCUCCGCAACGAGUGGUGAUAUGUAAGGCUUUGGUGGCUCCUCUCCCUCCCGGCGAUAUUUCAUCAUCAUUAAAGAAAAUGAAAUUGUUGGCACUUAUAUUGCUAACCAAUCGGUCCAACUUGUUCACUGAGAUAUCAUGUGCGACAUAAGUUUCAUUUAGCACCUUAAUCAACGCAUUACGAUGUAUUUCUGAACUUAGAAGUAAUUCGAGCACUGAGAUACGAGCCGGUUGCUUAUGUAAUUGUUCUACCACGCUGUACUCGCUGUGUUUCAAGAAUUUUAGAAAUUCUCUAGCCUCAUUUUCAGUUACCGGCUGAUUGACAUGGGAUUCAACUUUGUCUGUUUUUACUUUUUCCAGCUCAACUGCUAAGGCUUUUCCUUUUCUAGAUUCCACUUUUGCACUUGCCGGAUCAUAGCGCUUUCCACUUCGUGUAUAGAAUCCUUCAUUUUCUUCUGAAGCAUUUACCAAGCUCUCUUUUCCUGGAAUUGUCACAUUGCAGUUGUAAUUUCAAGGAACCUUUUUGCUAUCCUUGUAGGGAAAGGAUACAGGUUUUUGGAUUAUGACCUUUGGCGUUGUCUGUAUUCCGGAUUCUGUGUUCAUUGGCUUUGAAAUAAUAACCACUGGGUGGUUAACCUCUUGGGCUUUCUUCGCAGAUCCUUCCUCUGAAGCACAAACUUCUCCCUCUUCUAGUCCCUUGAUUUCUUCAUAAAACUCCAAUUCUUUGUUGUCCAUUAAGUUUUGCACCAUGGUUCUGAACUCGGUGCAUUUUUGGAUGUCAUGGCCUUCUUCUGCAUGGAACUCACAUAACUCCCUUGCUCAUUCAUGCCUUUCUACCGAAUCUUGCUUGAUGAGACCUUUUUUCACCAUUUGUUUCCAAACCCAUCCAAGAGGGGUCCUUAUCUCAGCUAUGUUUGCCUUGACUCUCCUUUCUUUCUCAAUUAUCGCGUUCACCCCUUUACUAUCAUGAGUGGGCAACGGAUUCUCUGCUACAUUUGGUCCAGAUGAUUCACCAAUCUUGACGAUCCCCAAAUUGAUAAGUUUUUCAACUAACUUCUUGAAUGCAGUGCAAUUCUCAAUCGAGCGCCCCUUAGUCCCUACGUGAUACUCGCAUUGAGCGUUUGCGUCAUACCACUUAGGGUACGGAGGUUGCAUAGGUUUCAGGUAAAAUGGGGAUACCACAUGUGCAUCGAAUAAGUUCUGGUACAAUUCUCUAUACAUCACUGGGAUGGGUGUGAAUUGGGGUCUCUCUAUAUUUGGCCUUGGAUUGGAUUCCUGUUUCGAAGAACCCUGCUGAUUAGCGGUUACUAUUCUGCCUUGCCCCAUCAUGAUUGAUUUAGAGUGGUCCUUGUUAAACAUGCUUGUAUUUUUUAUCUCGUACUCCUUCUUUCUUGGUGCUGACCUUUUAGUACUUUCUCCUACUUCUAUCUUGCCACUCAUUAUGGCGUUCUCUAUCAUUUCUCCAGACAUCACUAUGUCUGAAAAGCUCUUAGUGGCACUGCCCAACAUGUGAUUGAGAAAUGGGGCUUUCAAAGUGUUGAUAAAAAGCAUGGUUAUCUCUUUCUCUAAAAGUGGUGGUUUAACUUGCGCUGCUACCUCCCUCCAUCUCUGAGCAUACUGUCGGAAGCUCUCAUUAGGUUUCUUUUCCAUAUUUUGCAAUACAAUUCGAUCAGGUGCUAUAUCCAUCACAUGUCUGUACUGUUUUAUAAAGGCCUGCGCCAAAUCUUUCCACGAAUGGAUGUUGGCCUGACUCAAUUGAUUAUACCAUCUAGCCGCUGACCCGAUCAAACUAUCCUAGAAGCAGUGAAUCAGCAGUUGAUCUUGUUGAUAUACCUAGUCAUUCUUCGAUAAAACAUAGUGAUAUGAGCUUCGGGACAACUUGUUCCGUCAUAUUUCUCAAAUUCAGACAUUUUAAAUUUAGGAGGGAGGACUAAAUUAGGUACCAAGCUCAGAUCUUUAGCGUCCAUUCCUCGGUGGUAAUCAGCAUUUUCCAUGGCUUUAAACUUUUCCUCUAGCCAUUUACACUGGUCCUCUAAUUACUUUGACAGAUCCACUUUCACUUUCUCCACUUCUACCACGUCAUCGAGGUCAGGGACCACGAGAUUGGUAGGAUUCUCCCUGGGAUUAUUACCUAAUCUGAUUUGAAAAUUUAUUGGCAUUAAAGGAUUCGUCUGAAACUACUGAGGUUUGAUUGUAACAGAGGAUCUUUGUGGGUAGAACUCAGCUUGAGUAUGCGCGUGCGGAGGGGUAAAGCCUGGAGGGUAAAGGGGUUCAUCAUUGUUUCCCUCUUCAUUAUUAACUACAAGAUCCUUUCCCUUGUCAUUUCCUCCUUUCAAUAGCUAUGUUAACUUUGCCAUCAUGUCAUUUUGGGAUUCCCGCAUCUUUUCUGUCAUAUCUCGCUGAAUCUUUUCCAAUCGCUCUUGCAUUUGAUCUUGCAUAUCUCUUUGCAGCAGUUCAAGUUUUUCUAAUCUUUGAUCCAUGCUCUUUGAUUUCGCUCAAGUUCCGUAGGGGUGUUGAUUUUCCAGGUUAACUGAAAUAAUUUUAUUUAAUUAGGGUCCUUUAAUGGUCGUUGAUACAUAUGAUGUGAUGCAAUGCAUGAAAUGGAUGCAAAAAGAAAAGGCGUUGACUCUAAUUCAAUUUCAUUUAGAAAACUUUACUGAAAACAAACUUCUUUACAUAAGGUGGAUUACAGAUACGACUUAGCCCUAAUACUUAAAACUCUAAUCUUCCUAAGUAACGAAGCUAGCUCCUGUCCUCGACUUGACUCCAAUUCGUACUUCACGCUCAACACAUCAGCUUCUACUGCUAACAUCCGCAGAUGAUCACCUAUCUCCCGAAUUUGAACCACAGCUUCUCCCAUAAUGUGAUCUCUAUCUCUUACUUGGUUCUGGAAGUAGUGCAACUGCUCGGUUUGACGAUCUUUAUUAGUUUCCAAGUACUUAAUCUGGAUUUCGCAAUUUUGUAAUGCUGCUUCUAACUCUUCAAUUCUUUCUUUCAUUUCUUUAAUUUUAUUUAGGCUUGCCUUCAAUUCCAUCACAAAAUUCUGAUUUCAAUGCCGAUGGAGAGAUCCUUCUAAUUCAGUCACUCUAUUUUCUAGUUCCCUCUUUUCUUUCUGAUUCUCUGACAAACUCCUCUUUAGAGCCUCGUUCUGUGCUUGAACUUUUUGGAACCUCCUUUCCCAUCUAUCGGCUUUGUUUCUUUCUUCUUGAAUCUCCUUGCGCCACUACUCAGAAGUCUUUCCUAAUCCGGCAGUCCUCAUUGAUAACCGCAACUUCUUGUAAUCUAUUUUUAGACUAUCUAGAUCUUCUUCAACCCUAGCUUUUCCUUUUCUUAACCGCUCCACCUCAAGCUUCUGGAUAUCUGCAUCCAAUCUCAAGUUCAUUUUUUCUUCUUCCAUCUACUCUAGCUGCUUUUCCAACUCUGCAUUUCUUCUUUCAAAAUCCUGCUUUAAAAUUCCCAGUUCAGAAGGGACGACUCGUAAAUGUUCCUCUAACGACUGAUUGCCUUUGUGACUGGAUUUGUGGAUAUUGUCAUUGAUUCUUCUGACCCUCCAUUCAUCGUACUCAGGAGUCGUCACUGGUCCUACAGCCAAUCUCUUCAUUCGACGAGUCUGGUUCCACGCAUUGGAUAUCUCUCGAAUCCUCUUUUGGUAGCCAUCACCCCCGUACGCGAAUUCACACCCGGCUAGUCCCUGGGUUACGGGUAUAAACUGUCUUGACCUGUAUUGUCUGAGCACUAAUAACGGGGCAUAACCAAUAGCUCCCCAGAUUCCAAGCAAAUGGACCCAAUAAAAAUCACCACACUGAUACAAAAUUUCGUCUGGAAGUAACCACGGAGCUCUCCACUCAAUGUCCUCUUCUUGCAGGCUCUGAAGAAUUACCAUCCAUUUUUCCAUCGAAAUGUCAUCUCUUCUCAGUGUACCUACUAUCUCCUUUAGUGGCGAAUAGUUUUCAGAGAAGACCCGAUAUGACACAUUAUCCAUUUUCCAAAAAUGACUGUGGAACCACACAAGUAAUAAUUGUGCACAUCCAACGAAUCUGCCUUCACCCGCUCGUCGACAGGCAUUCAAUGAUCUGAAUUUUUCCACUAAAAUUGCUGGAACCGGAGUAACUCCCUUGUUGAGACGGUCGAAUAAAUCAGUGAUUGCCUCAUCAAUAUGCCCCAAAGCUCUGGGGAAGAUAACUAAGCCGUAUAUGCUCAAAGCGAAGACAUCUACCCUUUUUUUUACAUCUGGAUGCACUAGGACCACAUCUUUCAAAUUCCUCCAAGAAAUGCAUUUGUUAUCCCCUUUUUGUUUAAUUCGGGCUGUGACCCACUGCUCACUCAUACCUGUUAUGUUCAUUAACCUUCUAAAAAAGGGUGCAUUUGUAGCUUUCGAGUAGAUUCUGUCGACUUGACUCUUCGAACACCGAAGUAAAGCCAUAUAUUCUUCUAUCGUAGGCACUAAGUCGACUUUCCCAAACGUAAAACAACUGUAGGUGGGGUUCCAAAAUUGUGCUAGAGCCCAGAACAGGUGUUUGUCUAUCUUCAUAUCUAGCAAGUACGGUAAAUCCCCAUAAUCAGAAUAGAACAAUUGUCUGUCCUCCUCGUUCCACUGGUCUCAAAUUUCUUUCAACUCUUGCAAAUUGUUCUAGGUUACGCUGAUACGGGUGAAGUCCCAUAACUCAGAUUCAUAUCCUUCAACCAGACUAUCUCCUUUCUCCCGCUGCGUCGUUUCUGACCAAGUUUGCACCGCCGCAUUAUCUUCCACCUUAUCAAGAAAUCCCCUUUCCAUGAUAAGAUUUCUUUCUAGAAACCAAAUAUGAACCAACGCCUUUUAUAAUGAAAUGGCAUGCAGUUAAAAUGUCAUGCAUCCAAAGUAAAAUAGCAAACAUUAGUAUCAAGUAUAAGUAUACAAUCCAAAGUAAUUCAGAAAGAAUAAAAGCACCUAUCAGGGUAUGUACUAGGGUUCGGUGUAGUUCUACCUAGGGCGAGUCUCUAUAGUUCACUACAUGAGGUUUAGCUCUAAAGUAAGGGUACCUAAACCAGCAGAUUCCUCGAUCUUCACCUACUAUAGGCUCAUAUAGACCGAGUUCGGUUCAGGGGAAUACAUUUCCCUAUGGCUGCACAGAGAUGAAAAUCUCACGAAGACAUAGGUACAGAUGUAUCCCGGAAGCGAUCAACUGUCCUGCACGGAGGUGAAACCUCACGAAGGAGUAGUUUCUCACUCCCACUUAGAACGGUGUGACCAAAGGUCAUGCAAUGCAAUAUGCAGCAAGAUACCAAAAUUUAAAUCAACACAACAAUUACAACGAUGAAAAUUGUGAUAAAAACGAAUGAAAUGCAAUGAAAGGAUCGUAUAUUUAAAUCAAGUUUUCAAUUUUCAACAAAAAGACAAAAGAUAAUCAACUCGUGGCUCGACUCACUUAUUUUAUGUCCUCAGCGGAGUCGCGAAGCUGUUGACACCAUUUUUUAUUCAAAACGGGGUCGACUUGGGGUUUUGAAAAAUGAAACGGGAGUCGGCACCAAUCCUUUUUUAUGAGGUGUGAUUGGAUUACCUCGAAAAGUGGUUGUUUUUAAUAAACGGUUUGAUUUUAUUAAAACAACAAGUUUGGUCCACGAAAUUCAAAAAACGGGUUCGGGAGUCGGUUACGUACGAGGAAGGAUUAGCACCCUCGUAACGCCCAAAAAUUGGUACCUAGUUGAUUAACUAAUGUCUUGAUGUCGAAAAAUGAGAACUUUGAAGAAUUUUAAAAAUAGGAUCCUUGUAUUAAAAUAUUGAAAAUUUCCAGGAAAAUGGGCAUAUUUCACGUUAUUCAAGAAAGACAAUCAUAUCCAGUAAGUUAGGACACAAUGUCUCGAAUUCUCGAUACGUAAAUGAAUGCCAAAAUUUUACUUAUUUAAAAGACAUUUUAUUAUCUCGAGUUUAGAAAAGGGAUCAUGCCCAGUAAGUUAGGACACGAUCUUUUCUUAAUUCUCGAGAUCGUUUUAAAACUUGAGUUUAAAAAGAUUCGUGUAUUUAGAUUUAUUGUGAAAAUCGAAACCCAGUAAGUUAGGGUACGAUUCUCUCGAAUCUAAACACGAAAUAAUAUUUAUUCAAAAGAAAUUUUAUUAUAUCGAGUAAAAUAAAACACGAAAAUCGUAGUAAAAAAAUGUGAAAGCAAAUUACAUUGUUAUGAUGCAUAGCUGAACCAUAAUGGGUACGAAAAUAUGAAAAUUAUACAAACAAUAGCACAAUAUAAAAUAAAUAAAAGGUUAAAUCUACAACGUUCAAAAUAACGAUCAUGUAUAAACAAAUUAAAUUAAAGCAUGCAUCCGAAAUAAUAAUGAAGAUGAAGUAAAUAAAUAGUGAAUACAAUUCAAAAUGUAAAGAGGUAUGUAUACGUAUGUAAAUAUAAAUUAAAAUAUGUAUGCAUAUGUGAAUUAUAAAAUAUGUAGAAAAUACCUAUGUAGAAUAUAUUUUAAAAUAUAAAGAAUAUAAAAAAGUACAUAUAGGUGUAAGUAUGUAAAAUUAUGAAACAUAAAGAAUAUAUAAAAAAUUGUAUAUUUUUUGAAAGUAUGAAGUGUAUGCAAGUAUGUGUAUAUAUAUAAUAAAGGUGUAUGAAAGUAUAUUUUAUACACGUGUAUUUAUAAAAUGUGUAUAAAUAUAUAUUGAUUUACCAAUACAUAUGGAUAUAUAAUUAUAGAAUAUAUAUAAAAAAUAUUUACAUAUAUACGUUUAUGCGUAUAUAAAAGUAAGCUAUUAUAAAAUAUGAGCAAGCAUAAUACAUAUAUAUAGAGAGAAUAAAAAUGAAGUUGAAAACAAUAUAAAACUACUUAAUAUAUUAAUAUAAUAGUAACAAAAUAAAUAAACAGAAAAUAAAGCUAAUAAUAAUUAAUAAUAGUAGUAAUAAUAAUAAUAGUAAUAAUAAUAAUAACACUAAAAUAAUUAAUUAAACAAUAAAAUUGCUAAAAAGGGUUUAAAUCGAAAUAAAAACCUAAAUACUGGGCGAUUUCGAAAUAAAUAAAAACUAAAAGGAUUAAAUUGCAACACGCGCCAAACAUAGAGGGACCAAAACAGUAAAUAAGCCGAAGCCCCGAAACGGGGCGCAACAGUGGGCCAAAUUGGAACAAAAAUAAAAUUCUGGGGCUAAAUUAAAAAUAAAAGGAAAUAGCGAAAUAGGACCAAAUUAAAACACGCCGCAAAUCAAAGGGACUGCGCGCGCAAAUAUCCCCCUUAGCGAAAACGCGUGGAUCCUCCACCAGGGUCGGGUCACCUCGCGGGUCAGAGACCAAAACGACGCCGUUUUGGUCUCUGAACCCUAAAUUAAAAAACGGCGCCGUUUUACAGGGUAUUUGAACCCAUUUUUACAUCAAAAAAACACUUUAGCCGUUUUUUUAAAAAAAUAAAAGGGGAGCCCCUUUUCUCCCUAAGAAGUCUAGCCAUGUGGGGUUCCUUGGCCCCUGUUGCGGGUUCCUUGGCCCCUGUUGCGCCGCCGCUCGGCUCGCCGCACCGCCACCACUCCGACGGCUGGCGAAGCUCCAGAAAGGCGUUCAAAGCCCCAUCCUCCGGUGAGUUUCCUUUUUCCUUUCUUUUAUUUUUAUUAUAAAUAUAUUAUAUAUAUAUAAGCAGAUGAAUAAAAGAAAAUAAAUAAAAAAGGUUUAAAAUCUGUUAAAACGAAAACAAAAGGGAUCGGAAAUCACCUUUGAAACUUAUCUUUUAUUACUUUGGUAAUAUUUGUAUUUUUUUUGAUACCUCAAAUUCUAACCCAAGAAGAAGAAAAAAAGGUGUACAGAUUAGGCUUUUUAUAGCUGAUUUUUGGCUACUGUUUCUGUUGUCUUUUUGUGUUGUUUUCUUCUUUGCAGGUGACCGGCGGCGCAAGUAGGGGUGAGCAUUUGAUCAAAUCGAAUCGAAUAAAAAAUUUUCGAGUUAAUCGAGUUUUCGAAUCUCAUUUUAUCAUCCUAACUUUAUUUGAAGUUUUCUCAAAUCGAGUCGAGUGAGAUGAAAUUCGAAUCGAAUCGAAACGAAUAUAUCUGUUCGAGUUAAAUUUUAAAAAAUAAUUUUGGGUCCUUGUAACCAUUAUCACCCAUCGUAAUAAAAUUUGCCCACAUUAAUCAAAUUUUUUAUUAACUUUCAUCACUUCAUAAUUUAUUUAUUAUUUUUUUAUAUACUGGUUAGCUUCUUUGCUUGCUUAGUUGUUUCAAUUAUCUUCAUAUUUUUGUCACUAUGUAUUUUGGAAUUAAAAAAUAUAUUAAAUGUAACAUAUGAUUUUUUUAAGAAAAUUUAUUUUAAAAAUAAAAUGUGAAAUUGAUACCAAUAUAAAAUUUUAACAUGAAUAUUUUAUGGCAUAAUUAGUAAUUCAAUUUUAAUAUAAAUAUUCAAUAUGACUAAACAUUUCAAUAAUAUAAAUAAUAUAAAAUGUGAAAUUUAAUUUAAUAAUAUAAAUAGUAGAUAUAAAUAAAAUUAUUACUAUUUAUGUUUAGUGAAUUUUUUUGGAUAAUUUUGAUUUUUUAUUUUUGAGUAAAGGGUGAGAAGUAAAAGUUUAGGGGGAAAAUAAAAAAGUUUUGGGGAAUAAAAGUUUGAGGGAAAGUAAAUAUGGGGAGUAAAAUUUUGGAGGGAAAAUAUUAAAAAAAAAUUGGAGGGGGGAGGGUUUGGGGUAGAUGAGAGGUGGGAUGGGAAAGGAAUAAAAGUUUUAGGGGAAAAGUGGGAGGGAGUAAAAAUUUUGGGAGAAAAUAAAAGGUUUUGAUGGUUUUUGGGAGUAAAAUUUUGAGAAAAAGUAAAUGGGAGAGUAAAAUUUUGGUGGGAAAUAGAUUUUGGGUAGAUUGGGGGGUUGGGAGGGGAGGGGAGUAAAAGUUUUGGGGGGAAAGUAGGAAGGAGUAAAAGUUUUGAGGGAAAAGUAAAUAGGUUUGGGAGUUUAGGGUAAAAAUGUAAAUUAUUAUAGUUUGAUAUUCGAAUUAUUCGAAUUAUUCGAGUUAUUCGAAUUCAAAAACUCAACUCGAUUCGAACUCGAAAUUCGAAAAAAAAUUCGAGUUGAUUCGAAUAACUCGAUUAACUCGAAUAACUCGAUCCGUUUAACUCGAAAUUUGAAUUUUUUUCAAUUUUUUCGAGUGGAAUCGAAUUUUGCUCACCCCUAGGCGCAAGUGGGGUGAUUGGAGCAGGUGGUGGUAGGUGCGGCGCAGCAGUGGCGGUGGUAGAGGAGGCCAAGGGUCAAAGAGGGCGGCGCCUAGGGUUUCAGUCUAGGCUAAUUUUUUUAGAGAAAAUGGGCCUGGGCUGUUGGGCUCCAGGUUUGGGUUAGGGGCAUUUAGGUUUGGGCUGGGUUUGGUUUAAUUGUAAUUGGGCUUGGUGUAUUUGGGUAGGUUAAUUUGAAUUAAGCUUGGGUAUUGGGCCGGGCAAAAUAUGGGCUUCACACCAAUUAUUUUAUUAGACCCAUGUUCAUGACUGAUUUUAAUAUUUUUUGUUGACCCAUUUUUGUAGUGGUUGUCUACGUACCAUUGGAAGUGAUUACUUCAGGUACAUUACUCGUUUUAUUUGUCGGCAUGUUUGACCAAAAUAUUUUGAUAAUUUGCUUGCAUCUUUUUGAGUAUCUUGUGCAACCAAUCUUUUGUUUAUUAUUGGAAAGGAGAUUCAAUCAAGCAAAAUUAUUUUUCAAAGAUCCUUAUAUUGAUUACUUAUGUAACACCCAGGUUUGGCAGGUUCUAAGUUCUGACAAGAAGACUAAGAGCGGUGAGAAGUAGCCUAUCCGCUCGAUUAUCAUUUUGGCGCACAAAUUAGGCGCAUAGCAGAUAAUAGAACAUUAAGCAAGGGUUGUUCUCAGAAUGUAUUAAGUUGUAAAGAAGAAGAGAUUGGUGAGAGUUUUGAGAACCUUGUAAUAAGGGGGUUAUCGCCUAAAUUGACAAUUUUCCAUUUUAGGAGUGGGGCAUGCCAAGCCCACCUAGACUCAUAGUUGUUGAUUUUCAAAAUUGGCAUGGAUUAAAUUGUUCAAUUUUUUUAGGGGACCAACUUACUCAAUGUUAAAAUUGAGAAGGACCAAAAAGUUUUUUUUUAUCCUUUUAUUGUAGAAAGUUGUUUAUAUAUAUAUUUGUGAAAACUCAAAAGAAAGUGUAAAAACUUAUUAAACAGGAGUUAAAUAUUCAUCCCUUCAUUGCUGUUUUCCAGUCAUAUGCUGCAUGCAAACUUAUUAUAUUUAAAUUCCAAAUUCUUUAGUGCAAGUGUCUGGUCUUCAUUCUUUUCUCUUAUAAGAUGUUCAGAUUCAGACAAUUUUGUUUAGCCUUAGACAUGACAAAGUGUUCUAAUAGUACAUCCCGCACGUCACUUAAUUGGCUGAUGUCGAUAAGUAAGAAUGCCCUUAAUUUAGAUCCUUUGAUAGUUGGGUGAUUGGGAUGAUUUAUUUAUUCAUUUUGGAAGUUUUUAUUAGAAUUUGACUUGCUAAUUUUCAUAUUUAUAUUAUAUUUGUGCUUUUUUUUUACAUAAUUUUUUAUUAAUUAAUAAUGUGUUAUAGGAAACAUUUUUAUUGAAUUUAAUAUUACGAGCCAAUUCCAUAUUAAUUUAGUCAAAUAAAUUAUAUAAGAACUAUUUUUAAUAAAUAAUAAAUAUUAUUACAAUAUUAUUUUUGUUUUCUAUUAUAUUCGAGUUAAUAUUUAAUAUAAUAUUAGUGGAAAUUUCAAUUCUAUAAUUUAAAUGCUAUCACAUAUUCCAUUUUAAGAAAAAUAACAUUUUUUUUACUACACUCUAAAAGUGUAUGAGUCGAUUGAGUCUUAACUCGGUUGGUAUUGACAUUGUUGUCUAUGCAGGAGAACGUGGGUUCAAGUGCGUUGAAACACAUUUAUCCUCCCAUUGAAGGAGUGGAGAGACACUAUGGGUAGUUCUUUUAAUUUAACUCGAACAAUUUCAUUCGAUGCGACUAGAUUCAAAUUUUAUUUCACUCGACUCGAUUCGAAAAAAAUCAAAUUGACUUAAGAUCUUAAAAGAGAAUCGUAAACUCGAUUAACUCAAAAUUAUAUGAUACUUCAUUACUUAAUUGACGCAGCAAAUAUUGACAAAGCUGGGUUUGCGCCAAUUUUUUUCCCUUAAUUUCUAUUGUGUGAUUGGUACAUGGAUGAGAACGAACAUAGUUAGUGCCAACCCACGAUGCAAUUGCAAGCCUAAAAAAAGCUAAAGAUGGUGACAAUUCAAAAUGGUAAUAAAUUGAAAUAAUUCAUUUUAUUUUACCUUGCUCAAUUUUUAUUAAAUUUAGUUUUAAUUCAUGUGUUAUCUCUGAAUGAUAUCACAAUAUAUUUUUAAAAAAUUAAUAUUAAUAAUAUUUAAUAACAUAAAAUAAUUUAUAUGUAUUAAAAAUUUAUUAACCACUUCAUAUUAGAAUAAUUCUAUCAUUAUUUCAAAAGGUAAAAAUGUUAUUAUUACACCAAUUAAAAAAUAUCAUAUAUUCAAAUAAUUAAUUCAUCAUAAUUUUAAUAAAAAGUUUCACAUAUAAUAAUGAUAAAUGUAAAAUAAAUUAGUUUAUGUUUAUGAUAUACAUGACUCAUUUAUACCUAUUAAAAUAAAUAAUUUCAAAUAAUAAUGUAUAAAAUUUGCUUAAUAAAAAAAUAUAUUAAAUAAUAAAUAGCAAAACUAUAAUGUUAUUUAUGAACAAGAUGGAUCCGGGGUGGGGAGGCUUGCACCCCCAUUGGAUUUCUCAAAAGUUCUCAAAAUUUUAUUAUAUUCUUAAUUCCUCCCACUUCUUAUCAAUUCGCUCCUUUUAUCUCGGAUUUUAAUAAUUUUUUGUGGAUUAAAGUUUUUGAAGUGACUGCCUAUGUAACAUCUCUAGCCCGUUAGGGAACAUGACGUGCCAAAACCAACCAACAGUCCGCCCAACGAAUUGGAGUGUUAUCGACGGUUUCAACCUUUUUCAAAAUGACUUCCAACUCUUUGAAAUCAACUAUGAAAAAUCUCUUUAAAAGCAUUCUUAGAUUUUUGUAACCCCCUGUUUAAAGUAAACUAUAAGUCAUCCCCAUAGCUUUAAAUGGCAUACGCAUAUAAAAGAAAAUCUUUUAAGGCAUCAACAAUGAAAAUAGGUAAAUAUUUGCAAUUAAUAGAUAAAAAUAUUUUUCAACAGAAACCAUGCAUGAAACCAAUAACAAAAGAACUAAUAGCUCACAAAUAUCAGCAACUCUGAUGUAGUCUCCUUCUACAAAAUCUUCUGCUACUACCAACAAUCCUGAGGAGAUAAAAUAACUAAGUUGAAUUGAAUUUACUGAGUUCCACAAUAUACACAGAUACUGUAUUGAAAUACCUUUAAUUAACAAGCACUAGUACUCAUAACAAAACGGACUUUCCAUGAUAUUUGUCGUAACCAUUUUUUGUAAAACGGGAUCGACUUGGAUUUUAAAAAUAAAAACGAAUAUGGGAGACGCUACCAGUCCUUUUUGAUAAGCUGUGAUCGGGCCACCUUGAAAAGUGGUUAUUUUUAAUAAACAAUUUAAUUUUAUUAAAACAACGAUUUUGGUUUCUGUUUGUUGGGUCAGGGCUAAAUUGGGUUGUACAGCUGCCCCUCUUUGCUCGUUGUCGUGUAACGAGAACAGAGCAAAGACUAAGACAGACCAAUUUUGCCUGGUCUCACCGAUUAUUGACCUAUUCUGGUGCUUCUCUUCUUCAAGUAGCUUUAUUCCAGACCACAGUGUCUUGUUGCUUCGAUCCACUCCACCGCAACUUCAAAAAGAGAUACGACCUGUAGCUUCAAUCUUCAAGAGGACGAGAUUCAUGGUUUUAGUCUGCUCCACCGCAACAUCAAGGAGAUAAGACUUGUUGUGGUAGAUUUAAUUCGAUCCACUGCAACUUCAGAGGUAUAGGAUUCAUCGUUUUAAUCUACUCCACUGUAACUUUAGGGAGAUAGGAUUAGUAGCUUCAAUCUGCCCCACUGCAAUUUCAGGGAGAUAAGAUUGGUAUCUUUAACCUGCUCCACUGCAACUUCAGGGAGAUAAGGUUUGCUAUCUUCAGUCUACUCCACUACAACUUCAGUGAGAUAAGGUCUGCAAUUUCAACCUGCCCUACUGCAACUUGAGGGGGAUAAGGUUUGAUAUGAUCUGCUCUACUGCAACUUCAGUGAGAUAAGAUCUGCAAUGUAUAGCUUCAAUUUGUUCCACUACAACUUCAAGGAAAUAAGGUUCGAUAUAUUCGGUCUGCUCCACUACAACUUCAGGAAGAUAAGAUUUGUAUCUUCAACCUGCUCCACUACAACUUUAGGGAGAUAAGGUUUGCUAUCUUCAGUCUACUCCACUACAACUUUAGUGAGAUAAGAGUUGUAUCUUUAACCUGCUCUACUGUAACUUUCAGGAGAUAAGGUCCACAAUUUCAAUCUGCCCUACUGCAACUUGAGGGGGAUAAGGUUUGAUAUGAUUUGCUCUACUGCAACUUCAGUGAGAUAAGAUCUGCAAUGUAUAGCUUCAAUCCGUUCCACUACAACUUCAAGGAAAUAAGAUUCGAUAUCUUUGGUCUUCUCCACUCCAACUUCAGGGAGAUAAGAUUUGUAUCUUCAACCUGCUCCACUGCAACUUCAGGGAGAUAAGGUCUGCAAUUUCAACCUACCCCACUGCAACUUCAGGGGGAUAAGGUUUGUCACUUCAACCUGCUCUACUCCAACUUCAGAGAGAUAAGGUUUGUGGCUUUAAUUUUCUUCUCUGCAACUUCAAGGAGAUAAGAUUCGCUGCCUUCAGCUUUAAUCCGCUCUACUUCAACUUUAAUCUAUUCCACUACAACACUAGGGAAACAAUAUUCGCUACCUUUAGCUUUAAUCUGUUCCACUGGAACGCUAGAGAAAUAAGAUUCGCCGCCUUAAGCUUUAACGAUAGGGACAUAAGAUUCGCUACCUUCAGCUUUAAUCUGCUCUGUUGUAAUGCUAGGGAAACAAGAUUCGCUACCUUUAGCUUUAAUCUGUUUCACUAUAACGCCAAGAUGAUAGGAUUCGCUGCCUUCAGCUUUAAUCUGCUCCACUUCAACUUUAAUCUAUUCCACCGCAACGCUAGGGAAACAAGAUUCGCUACCUUUAGCUUUAAUCUGUUCCACUGUAACGUUAGGAAAAUAAGAUUAUUGGUUUUAGUCUACUCUACUGCAACUUUAGGGAUAUUAGAUUUGCUUUCUUCAAACUGUUCCACUGCGACUUCAAUGGUAUAGGAUCUGUGGUUUCACAGAUCUGUUCUCUGGGGAACAUGACCUAUGGAAUCCAUUGCAUGGGCCUAUUCAUGCCUAUUAAUUAGAAUAUUAUGAUUAGAACGAAUCAAAAUCUCCUAACUAAAUGUGCAUGCAUGAAUGCAAAAUGUCAUGAAAAUGAUCCCCCAAUGUUUGAGUUGUUAUUGUUCAUUGUUCAUUAAGGUCUCAUUACCAAUACGUUAGAACACUAUCUUGUUCGGCCGGUAACACUAUAAUCUUCAAGGUUCAAUCCACUGUACCUUUAGGACAUAAAAGUUUGAACCAUCUUCUUCCCACUAAGUAUAAGAUCUGGCUCUUUCUUAAUCCUCUCCCACUGCAAUUUAGGGAUACAGGAUCUGAAUAUCUUUGGCCUUACACCACUCUCGAGGUGUCAUACCAAAUAUUUAUGCACAAUUGUAAAAUUUUCUUAUCCGAGAAAACCUCUUCUUAUCACUCCAUUGAUCAUUGCUAGUUUAUUUAUUGAAGCCUUGUCACAAACACGACAUCUUGUCAUUUUGUUCAAUCAAUGUUUGGAUAACAAAAUCUGAAAGGAUAGUCUUAAUUUAGACUCUUCCUUCUUAGAUAUUUCAUCCUUUAAACUUGGUGUGUUCUAAACAAUAGUCCUGUUUCAGGUUCCUAUAUUAUUUAGAAACUUCUAGAGUAAUAUGCAAAACAUCCAUUGUGAAAGUAUUAUCAGAAAACAUCCAUUGUGAAAGUAUUAUCAGUCUAUUAAUCAUUAUUCCAAUGCAACGUGCUUGCAAAAGAUCAUAACGGUAGAUAGAAUAGGAUUAAUUUGGGAACAUGACUUGAAAUGGAUAAAUUAUCAAAGAGAGUAAGAAUAAAAAAGGAAUUGAUUGGGAACAUAUAUCUUGAAAAAGAAUAAAGUAUUCCAAGAACAUCAAAUUCAAUAUAAAUAGUAUGAAGACUAAGAUCCCCAGAUAUCGUAGCUUGAACUUCUCUGUAAAAACUUUCUGAAGACCAUUCUGAGUUUGACAUGUGUUUAGGAGAUCUACAGUACUUUGUCAAUGUCCCAAGAUAUCGCCUACCCUUUUCUGUUGAUUUAGGCAUAGCAAGAUCACCAUAUGCCCCAAUCUGAUCAAAAUUUUAGCUGUUCUGAUCACCUCAUGUCCCACUCUGAUCAAAAUUUGAGCCGCCCUUUUCAGGUUUUCAACUCAAAUCCCCUUUAGUCUCAAGGUGCCCUUUGCGGGUUUUCACCUUGGCCUCUCAUUUUUCUUUUCUUUUCUUCUUCUAUUUUGAAAUAUUUUUUGAUUGAAUCUAAACUCAUAGGAUAAGGCAUGUCCUUGUUAUCCUUUUUGAUCAAAAUCAAUGUUUCUCCAGAUAAGGCCUUCCAUAUAAGGUCCUUCCCAGUUUGGUAUCCACUUUCUUCUGAAGUCCUUUUGUAUGGGGAGGAUCUUCUUCGAUACCAGGUUCUCCUCGUGGAAUCUUCUAGAGUGAACUUUUUUUUGAGCUCGCAUCAUUUGCUUUUGGCACAUUUGGCAAUGAUGGAUAACUUUGAACAUUCCUCUUUAAUCAGGAUUAAAUUAAAAAACUUAGAGAGAAUGAAUCUUGUCUUCAAUUGGUAAACCUCGAUAAGCCCAAAAGAAAAGCAUUACCUCGGUAAAGGCUUUUCACUGCACUAUUCACAUUGGGACGACAUGGUGUUAAUCUUGAACAGGCUGCAAACCUUUUGAUAAUAUGAUGUUCAAAUUUAGCGCGUUGUUGAAUAUGAUCCUUUUUGGCAUUUUAUACCUACGUAUGAAUUUUUCAAGAAUUUGCUGGCUGUCGACUUUGUGACAUUGGCACAUGAAGUGGCUUCUACCCAUGAAGAUAAAUCGAUAACCGUCAAAAUCUUUUGGCGAGAUCGACCUAAUGACCUUCAUGCCCCACAUAGGGAGAAGUCAUGGAUUCCAUUGAUUCUUUGUAGGGUAGGAUCUAUUUUCCAUCUUAUUCUACCAUCCGUAAUAAGUCUAGAGAUAGGCUAUAAUCUAUGUCAUCUUUAAAGUCAUGAGAUCCCUCAAACACAUGUCUCACUCAAAAGGAGAUUCUGAGUCUGUAGCAGCGUAACUCAUGUCAUUGAUAUCUAGGGACCUAUUAUAGGUACAAAGGAAUGUAUAAAGAAUAUAUGAACUUAUGAGUAAUUAUUUGUUCAAUAUGAUUAUUAAUGGAUGAAAGAAUGAUUUGGAAGAAAGUCUAAAAGAAUGAAGGAAUAAAAAAUAAUUAUUAAUAAAAAAAUGAAUAAAUAUUGGCUCAAAAAUUAUCACAAAGAUAUAUUUCAUUAAAAUAAUAACGUUCAAACAUGAGCCAAUUUCACAAAAGAGUUCUUACUGCCUCUAGGCUAAAAGCAACAAGUGUGAUCUGAAUAUUACUCUCAGUAAGCUCUAAAUACUAUAGGGGUCUCUUCUGUAGUCUAAUUAUUUAGAACGCUUCCAGGUUUAUAAGGGCGAAUAUCUAAUAAGGUCUCUUCUUUAGUUGUGUCUUCAUAUAUGGCAUUUUUGUGAACGUUUCCCUACACUUUUUCAUACUUUGCAUUCACCACAUUAUCAAUAUGAUUGAGUAACAGAUUUUCUGCACUAGAUGAAUCAUCAAAUUUGACAAUGCCCAUAUUGAUGAGCCUUUCGACCAGUUUCUUGAAAGUGGUGCAGUUUUCUAUAGAAUGUCCUACAAUACCUGCAUGAUAGUCGUAGUAUGCAUUCGCGUCAUAUCAUUUGGGGUAUGGAGGUUACAGGGGUUUUAAGUAGAAAGGGGAAAUAAUGUGUGCACCAAACAAACUUUGAUACAACUCCCGGUACGACAUUAGAAUUGGCGUAAACUAGAGCUUCUUAGUUUUUGUCUUAUGUCGAAUUCUUGUCUUGAUGGACCUUGUUGAUUAGUAGCCACCUUUCCUAGUUGGUUCACCGUGAUCGAUUUCGAGUAACCCUUGUUAUAGGUGUUCAUGUUGUUCACCUCAUUCUCUUUUUUCUUCGGAGCUGACCUUCGGUUACUUUCUUCAGCCUCGAUCAUCCCACUUUUUAUGGCAUUUUCAAUCAUUUAUCCAUUCAUAACUAUGUCAGAGAAACUUUUCAUGGUACUUUCCAACAUAUGUGUGAUAAAUGGUGCCUUCAGUGUGUUAAUAAAGAGUAUUGUCAUCUCUCUUUCCAGGAGCGGGGCUGGACUUGAACGACAACCUCUCUCCACCUUUGUGCGUAUUGCCUAAAACUUUCAUUAGGCUUCUUCUACAUAUUUUCCAGGGUGACUCUAUCAGGGACCAUAUCUGUUACAUGACUUUAUUAUUUCAUAAAUACUUGUGCUAAGUCUCUCCACGAACUAAUCUUGGUACGGGUUAAUUGAUUGUACCACUUAGAUGCUGCCCCUGUGAGGCUAUCUUGAAAGCAAUGUAUAAACAGUUGGUCAUUGUUAACGUAUUCAGUCAUACGCCUACAAAACAUGGUAAUAUGAGCUUCAGGGCAACUGGUCCCAUUGUAUUUCUCAAAUUCUGGCAUUUUGAAGUUAUGGGGAAGUACCAAAUCUAAGACUAAACUCUCGAGCCAUUUACAUCUUUCCUCCAGCUGUUUUGGCUAUUCUUCCUUGGUUUUCUCAUUCUCAGCCACUUCGUCAAAAUCGGGGACAAUGGAUUGGUAUGGUUCUCUUUGGAGUUAAAACCUAAUCUGGUUUGGAAGUUUAUUGGCAUUGAGGUGCCACCUUGAAACCGUUGAGGCCUGAUUGUGACAGAGGACCUAGGUGGGUGUACCUCAACUUGGGGUUGAACAUGUAGAGGAUUAAAGCCUGGACUGUAGAGGGGUCCAUCAUUAUCUCUUUCUUCAAUAUUAACCAUGGGGUCCUUUCCUUUGUCAUUUCCCCCAGCCAACAGGUGUGUUAACUGAGUCAUCAUGUUCUUCUGGGACUCCAUCAUAUUUUCUGCCAUAUCUUGUUGAAUUUUUUCUAACCGGUCUUGCAUUUGGUCUUGCAUCUCCUUUUGGAGCUGUUUGAGCCUUUCCAAUCUUUGAUCCAUGUUUUUCGAUUUUACUCGAGUAUCGUAAAGGUGUUAUUUUUCCAGAUUAACUAAAAUAAUUUUAUUUAAUUAGGAUCUUUUGGUGGAUUUUAAUGCAUAUGAUGUAAUGUAAAUGCAUGAAAUGAAUGCAAAAGAGACGUUGAUUCUUGGUUCAAUUCUAUUAGAACAACUUUACUAGAAAACAAAUCUCUUUAUAUAAAGCGGAUAUAUAUAUAGCUUUGCCCUCAUAUUCCAAGCGAAUACAACGAUCCUUUUCUUCAUCUGGAUGUUAAAAUGAAUCUCACGAAUUUUUCAAUGGAUGCCUCUACUAGCUCCUUUUUGCUUGAUCCGAUCCGCAACUCAUUAUUUGUUUAUCCUCGUGAUGCUCGUUAGCUUCUUUAAAAAGGUAGGGGCAUUGACGACUCUCGAACAAUCUUUGUCAACUUGAAUCCUCUGGUAAUGAAACAAAGUUACGUAGUCUUCCAUUAGACCAUCAUCUUUCUCUGGUCACAUUUUCUUGGACCAUAUUCGGACAAUCGCAUUGUCUUCCACUUUAUCAAGAAAUAUGUUUUCUUAUGACAAGCUCUCUAUUUAGAUACUGAACGUGAAUCAACACCUCUUUUUUAUGAUGAAAAUGCAAUGCAAUUAUAACCAAAACAAAAGAAAAUUGAUUAGUACAAAACACAAGCAAGCAAGAAAGAAAUAAAUAGAGCACCUAUUCGAGUGACCACUAGGGGUUUGGCAUAGUUCUACCUAGGCUAGGCUCUUCGGGCUCACUAUAUGCUGUUCGGUUCUAAAGUAAAGGUACCCGAACCGGCAGAUUCCUCGAUCUUCACCCAUUAUAGGCUCAUAUGGAUCGAGUUCAGUUGAGGGAAAUACAUUUCCCUAUGGCCGUGCGAAGAUGAAAAUCUCACGAAGACAUAGGUACGGAUGUAUCCGGGAAGUGAUUCACUAUCCCAUGCAGAGGUGAAAACCUCACAAAGGCAUAGCUUCUCACUCCCACUUAAAAGGGUGUUACCAACGGUCAUGCAAUGCAAUGUGCAGAAAGAUACCAAAACUUAAACUAACGCAACAAUUAUAAACCACAAUGAUGAAUAUCAUAAUAAAGACGGAUGAAACAUAACGAAAUGAUCGUAUCUUUAAAUCAAGUUUUCAAUUUGUGACAAAAAGACAAAAAAUAAUCAACUCGUGGCUUGACUCUCUUAUUUUGAGUCCCCAACAAAGUCGCCAAGUUGUCGUAACAAUUUUUUGUAAAACAAGAUCGACUUGGAUUUUAAAAAUGAAACAAAUGUGGGAGUCGCUACCAAUCCUUUUUGAUAAGGUGUGAUCGGGACACCUUGAAAAGUGGUUGUUUUUAAUAAAUAAUUUAAUUUUAUUAAAACAAUGAUUUUGGUUUCUUUUUGUUGGGUCCAGGCUAAAUUGAGCUUGUACAAUAUUUGUUGCAGUGUGUAAAAAUAAUUACAAAUUAUGUACAAAUAUACACAAUUGUAACAAGUAAUAAAGUACUAAGUAUACGAGUACUGUCUCCUUAGGGACUGAACAGGUAGUCAAGAUUUGAGAAAAUAAUUUAAAUAACAAUUUAGGAAGAAAACAACUACAAAUGGGGUUUAUGCGAUUAAUUAAACUAAAUGAUUCUAUCUUGCAAAAUUUCAACAGAAUAAUGAGUACUUCAAGAAAUGAGUUACUAAUAUCAAAUAAUGCUAGAAUACUUAAUCCACUUCUGCCUCUGAUCAAUUUAGUCUGGAUGAAAUUGUUAUGAAAAUCAUGGCAUAAUUAGCGUGUAACAUCCAUAACCCAUUUUUGUCGCCAGAAUAGGGUUACAGAGUAUUACUAUACAAUUCGAAACAUUCCAUAACAAUAGCAUCUAAGUCAUCAAAUUACUUAUUAACAAUAUUCAUAAAUAACAUGAAAUCAAGCAAGACACACAUUCACAGAACUUAAAUCGAGCCUACAAGGCCCUAAAAAUAUCUUAGGAACAAUCAGAGACUAAUUUAAAACAAAACAGGAGAUUUGGGACAAAAAUGAAAAAAAUUCAAAAAAGGGUCACACGGCCGUGUGUCUAGGCCUAGAGCGUGUGGCUCUAGACAUGGCCGUGUGGCCAUCCCACAUGCUCGUGUGCAAGAGCCAUGUAACUCUUUGACUUGGGUCACACAGUCAUGUCACAGCCAGUGUAAACUUUGCACCUAACACGCUAAGGGCACACCCCCGUGUGUGACACACGACUAUGUGAUAACUUGUGUCCCAGGUCAUGUGUACCCAAAAGUGACUAAAAUCAUGCUAAUUUUUCAUCCAAAUUCUUUAGUGAAAAUGUCUGGGUCUUCAUUCUUUUCUCUUAUAAGAAGUUCAAAUUCAGACAAUUUUGUUUAGCCUUAGACACGAGAAAGUGUUCUAAUAGUACAUCUCGCAUGUCACUUAAUUGGCUGAUGUUGAUAAGUAAGAAUGCCCUAAUUCCCCCUAAUUUAUAUCCCUUGAUAGUUGGGUGAUUGCGAUGAUUUAUUUAUUCAUUUUGGAAGUUUUUAUUAGAAUUUGACUUGCUAAUUUGCAAUUUAUAUUAUAUUUGUGCAUUUUUUACAUAAUUUUUUAUUAAUUAAUAAUGUGUUAUUUAUACUAUAAUAAUGUUUAAAACACACUUAUUGCUCUAAGCCUGGGAGCAAUAAGAAUCCUUUUGUGAAAAAGGCAUAUGUCCAAUAUAUUUAUUUCAAUAAAAUGCAUCUUUGUGUUUUAUUUUAGAAAAUAUUCUUUUUUUUUCCAUUUCAUUCAUACUCAUACCACACAAAUAAUUAUUCUUAGAUUCAUUUGUUCUUUGGGUCUUCCUUUAUUCCUAUAACAGGUAUCCAGAUAUUAAUGAUAUGAGUGACGCUGCUGCUGACUCAAAGUCUCCUUUUAAGCAGGAUAUGUGUCCAGAGGAACCUCAGGACUUUGAAGAUGAUCAAGAUUGUAACCUUUCUCCUGAUUUGUUAAGGAUGAAAGAACAAGAUGAGAAAUAAAUCCUACUUUACAAAGAGUCAGUAGAAAUUGUGAGUUUGAGAGACAAAUAAGAAAAUAAAUAGGUAAAGAUCAGAGCUUGCAUCACUGUAGAGACGAAACGAGACCUCAUUGAGUUACUCCAAUAAUUCAAAGAUUUCUUCGCAUGGUUGUAUCAAGACAUGCCUGGUCUAAGUACUGAUAUCAUGGUACAUCGGCUUCCCAUAAGGGAAGACUGCAAGCCGGUUCAACAGAAACUCCGAAGGAUGAGGCCCGAUGUCUUGUUGAAAAUAAAAGAAGAGGUUAAGAAAUAAUUCGAUGCUGGUUUCCUACAAGUGGUUAAAUACUCGGAGUGGGUAGCCAAUAUAGUCCCCGUCCCUAAGAAAGAUGGGAAAGUAUGAAUGUGUGUAGACUACAUGGAUUUAAACAAAGCUAGCCCGAAGGACAAUUUCUCGUUGCCUCUCAUUAAAACAUUAAAAGACAAUACAGUAGGUUAUUCACUGUUCUCCUUCAUGGAUGGCUUCUCUGGAUACAACUAGAUAAAGAUGCAUCCUGAAGACAUGAAAAAGACCAUAUUCGUAACCAUAUGAGGAACAUUUUGCUACAAAGUAAUACCAUUCAGAUUGAAAAAUGCAGGAGCGACAUAUCAAAGAGCCAUGAUAACUUUGUUUCAUGAUAUGAUGCACAAAGAAAUCGAGGUUUAUGUUGAUGAUAUGAUUGCAAAAUCCCUAAUAGAAAAAGAGCAUGUACAAUUCUUAAGGAAACUAUUUUUAAGGUUGAUAAAAUUCCAGCUAAAGCUCAAUCCAGCAAAAUGCACCUUCGGGGUUAGGUUGGGAAAAUUACGAGAAUUUAUAGCCAGCUAAGAGGGGAUCGAGAUCGACCUGGAUAAAGUCAGGCCUAUACAGGAGUUACCUCUACUGUGCACUUAAAAAGAGGUUCGGGGUUUCUUAGGGAGAUUAAAUUACAUCGCCUGGUUCAUUUCACCACUGACCAAGAAAUGCGACCCCAUAUUCCAUCUCCUUAGGAAACAUAAUUCAGGUGUAUAGGAUGAAGAAUGCCAGAAGAAUGUUGACAAUGUAAAACAUUACUUGUCCAAUGCCCCAAUGUUAAUGCCGCCUAGUCCAAAUAAGCCACUGAUACUGUACUUGGUAGUAUUAGGGAAUUCUAUGUGAUGCGUGCUCGACCAACACGAUGAAUCAGGAAGGAAAGAAAUAGCAAUAUACUACUUCAGUAAGAAAUUCACUGAAUGUGAGACAAGAUAUUCACCAAUUGAGAAGUUGUGUUGGGCUUUAAUCUGGACAACCGAGAGACUAAGACAAUACAUGUUGUACCAUUCAACUUGGCAAAUCUCAAAAAUAGACCCUCUAAAGUACAUGAUAGAGUUGACUGCUUUGAAUGGAAGAAUGACCCAAUGGAAAAUUGUACUUUCCAAAUUUUAUAUAAUCUAUGUGAACCAGAAGGCAAUAAAAGGGAGUGUAAUAGAAGAUUUUCUAGCCAGUAGAACUCUAAAAGUUUACGAGCCUUCGAAUUUCAAUUUCCCGAAUGAGGAUCUGAUGUAUGUUGCAACCACUAAAGAAUAUGCUCAAGAAGGACAUCCUUGAAAACUAAAUUUUGACAGAGCCUCGAACAUUAUGGGUAACGAAAUUGGGGUUGUCCUAGUAUCCCCAAUCGGAGACCAGUAUCAUUUUACUAGUAAAUUGGAUUUUGAUUGUACAAGUAAUAUAACAGAAUACGAAACAUGCAUUAUAGGUAUCUGUACAGCCAUAGAACGCAAGAUCAAGGUACUGGAGGUAUAUAGGGGUUCUGCACUAGUGAUAUAUGAACUCAAAAGAGAAUGCGAGACGAGGGACCCCAAGUUGACCAAUUAUCAAAGGCUGACUCUUGAAUUAAUUAAGGAGUUUGAUGACAUCACCUUCUGCUACCUUCCGCAAGAUGAAAACCAAAUGACUGAUGCCCUAACUACUUUAGCUUCCAAAGUCAAAGUGAAUAGACAAGAUGAUGUAAAACCUAUUCAGAUGAGUAUUUAUGAGGCUUCGACCCAUUGUUACAACAUCGAAGAAGAAGAAAAGGAUGAUCACCCUUGGUACCAUGAUAUACUGCGAUAUGUAAAGAAUCAUGAAUACCCUAAUUAGGAAAUCGAGAAUAAUAACAGGAUGCUAAGGAAACUGACUAAUGGCUAUGUCUUAGAUGGGGAGAUCCUAUAUAAAAGAAGAAAGGAUCAGGUGCUACUGAGAUGUGUGGAUGCCAUUGAGGCCAAUAAAAUGAUGGAAGAAGUCCAUGAGGGCGUUUGCAGAACACAAGCUAAUGGUUUCACAAUGGCCAGGCAAAUCAUGAGAUUCAGAUAUUAUUGGUCCACCAUGGCCUUUCUCUAUGUGGGGCAUGGAUGCCAUUAGACCGAUCUCGCCAAUAGCUUCCAAUGGGUAUCGAUUCAUCUUUAUGGUUAUCGAUUACUUCACAAAGUGGGUAGAAUCUGCUUCUUAUGCCAAUGUCACGAAGUCAGCAGUCAAUAAUUUCUUAAAGAAAGAGAUCAUAUGUCGGUAUGGAAUGCCAGAAAGGAUCAUAUCUAAGAAUGCAUUGAAUUUGAACAACAAUACGAUAUCAAAAGUCUACAGUUAGUUUAAAAUCAAACACCACAACUCGUCACCAUAUCACCCAAAAAUGAACGGUGUAGUUGAGGGAGUUAAUAAAAACAUUAAGAAGAUCGUGGGGAAACUAACAGAGACUUAUAAAGACUAGCAUGAGAAGUUACCAUUUUCCUUUUAUGCUUAUUCAACGUCUGUCAGAACCUUCACUGGGGCAAUACCUUUCUCAUUUGUUUAUGGAAUGGAGGCAGUUUUGCCCAUUGAAGUCGAGAUUCAUUCUCUCUGAGUUUUAUCAGAGUUGAAGUUAGAUGAAGCAUAAUGGACCUAAUCUCGAUAUGAUCAGUUGAACUUGAUUUAAGAGAAGAUGUUGAAAGCUAUCCGUCAUGGUCAGAUGUACCAAAAAUGAAUAAUGCGAGCUUAUGAAAAAAAUGUUCGCCUCAGAGAAUUCCAUGAGGGUGACCUGGUAUUGAAAAGGAUCCUACUAAUACAAAAAGACUUCAGAGAAAAGUGGAUGUCGAAUUGGGAAAAACCUUAUGUGGUAAAGAAAGCUUUUUCUAAAGGAGCACUGAUUUUGACAGAGAUGGAUGGCAAAAACUUGCCUAAUCCUAUAAAUUCAGAUUCAGUCAAGAAAUACUUCACCUAAAAAAAUAGGGAGAGGCCAAGGUGAAAACUCGCAAAAGGGUGCCUUGAGACCAAAGGGGUUUUGUGUUGAAAACCUAGGAAAGGGCAGCUUAAAUUUAGAUCGAAGAUUGAACAUGUGGUAGUCAUGUCUACUCAGAACGAGAAACAUUACAUCUUGGGGCUUCAAUAAAGUACUUUAGAUCUCCUGAACACAUAUCAAGCUCAAAAUGGUCCUCAAGAAGUUUAUGUAGAGAAGCUCAUGCUGCGAUAUUUGGGGCACCUAAUUUCAUCUUACUCACUCUGUAUUUUACCAAUGUUUGCUAUUUUGAUUAAUCUAUUUAUUUUAAGCUUUGCUCCCAAUAAAUUUCAAUCUUGUCAAUUGUUACAAGCUUUUUCGAGCAUUUUUACAUUGAAAUAAUGAUUAAUGGACCAACAACAUUCAAGUAAAAGGAUUUUUGCAUAUUGCUUUGAAAGGUUUCUAAAUAGUAUAAGGACCUGAAACAGGACCACUAGUUAGAACUAACCAAAUCUAAGUGUUGGAAAUAUUUGGGAACGAAUAGUUUAAAUUGUGAUUAUUUCUUCAAGUUUCCUGUCAAAGAUACCAGAUUUGAACAAGAAGGUGUGGCAAUACAUCAUUGAUGGAACCUUGACGAACAAUGAGUAAUGUCAACCUAAGCAUUAAAAAGUGAAUCAUUCUCGAAAAAUGACAUUCUGCAUGCACGUAAAUAUCAUUCAUAUACAUCUAGUUAGGAGAAUUUGAUUCAUCCUGAUCAUAACAACCUAAUAGGUUGGCAUAAAUAUAGGCCUAUGAAAUGGAAUCUACAAGUCAUGUUCCCUAGAGAAAUGUAUAACAGAUCAGUGAAACCACAAAUCCUGCACUCUUGAAGUUACAGUGGAGUAGAUUGAAGCUACCAAUCUUAUCUUCCUAAAGUUGCAGUGGAGUAGAUUAAAGCCACAAAUUUUAUCUCCCUGAAGUUGCUGUGGAGUAGACUGAAGUCACAAAUCUUAUCUCCCUAAAGUUACACUAGAGCAUAUUAAAACCACAAAUCUUAUCUUCCUAAAGUUGCAGUGGAGUAGAUUAAAGCUAAAAAUCUUAUCUCCCUGAAGUUUCAGUGGAGCAGAUUGAAGAUAGCGAAUCUUAUCUCCCUAAAGUUGCAGUGGAAUAGAUUGAAGCUACAAAUCUUAUCUCCUUAAAGUUGCAGUGGAGCAGAUUGAAGAGACAAAUCAUAUGCCUCUAAAGUUGCAGUGGGUCGAAUUAAGGGCCAAUUCUUCAUUGCUUUUGAAAAGUGCUUUUGAAAAGUGUUGUGGAAAAGUACUUUUGAGAAGUGCUUUUGAAAAAUUUGAGUGUUUGGUAUUGCUGUCAAAAAGUGCUUUUGAGAAAUAAAAUGUCCAUUUCAGACAUGAUAUUAUAAAGUAACAAAUAUGUAUUUAAAUAAUGUUCAAAUUAGUUAAUAUUAUGAUAUUUUAGCAAAAUAAUAAAAAAUAAUUUAUCAUAACUUAUUGUUUCUAUUUUAAUAUAUAAUAUUAAUUUUAAAUAUUUGUAAGUAAUUAAUAGUAAUUAUUUAUUAAAUUUAAUUAGAUUAUAUAAACUAUAUUUAAAUAUUUAAAUAUAAUAAUUAAAUAUUUGUAAUUAGAUAUUGACACAAUUGUAUUAUGUUAAAAAUUAUUUUUUAUUUUUAAUUAAUGCUUUUAACACAUUUGUAUUAUUUUAUUUUAAAUUAACAUAACAUAGAAAAUAUAAACCUAACAAAUUAAAAUAUUACAUAUAUUUAGAUUAAAGUUUUAAAAAGGGAUAAUACUUAUAUACCAAAUAUAAAUACUAAAAAAUUUGGGAGAAGACAAAGGUUAAAAAUGUAAAUAGAAGCCAAAAGUACUUUCGGCAAAUGGAGAAGUUAAAAAUGAUGUCUGUUCUUUAUAGGUUUUCAGGGAAAACUACUUUUACAUGCAGAAGCUCAUCUGAAAAGCAAUAAAGAACACAACCUAAAUCUACCAUAGCGAGUCUCAUCUCCCUAAAGUUGCAGUGGAGCAAAUUGAAGCUACGAAUCUCAUCUCCUAGAAGUUGCAGUGGGUUAGAAUGAGGCUACAUAAAAAAGAGGAGCACCAAAGAAGUCAAAAUUCGAUAGCACCAGACAAAAUGGGCCCUUCUUAAAGUCUUUAAUCCAUCCCCGUUACAUGACAAUGAGCAAAGAGAGGCAGCUGUAAAGGUCCAAUCUCGUCCAGAUCAAAACCAAAAAUAAAUAAACAAAAUAUAAAAACCAAAAAAUAAAAAAGUCCAUUUGCAAAAUAAUGGCCCAAAUACAAAACCCUAACCCAAACCCAGUGUUACACAAGCCCAAGCCCAACUAACCUAAAGUUUUUUGAAAACCCUAAAACCUUAGGUCUCCCUCUCAUGCCGCUCCUUGCCACGUCAGUUGGUGCCCCUCCCAAAGACACCCACGCCCCGAGGUCUGCUCCUCUGCGACCCUUGCACCAAAACGGCAAAGGCAUAGAUCUCUCUCUGCAGUUGACCGCACACCACCGCCUGCAAUGAGAAAGAAAUAAGGAUAGAAACAUGAAGCAAAAAUAGUAAAAAAGACAGAAGCAAAAAAUAGAAAACACAGAAGCAAACACGAAGAUUUGCAAUCACUCAGCUAUAAAAAGCCGGAUAAACAUAUUGUAAAAUAGACGAAAAAUACAAAGAACAAAAAAACAUUUAAAAUGAAGUUGAUCUUCUUGUUUUAUUUUUUUAUAUUUUGAAAAAGAAUAAUAAAUAAAAAAUAAAACGUGUUUACCUGAGUCGCUUUACAUUCCUUUGUUGUUAGAGGUCUUCUUCGAGGUGGAAAGCUCUAGAACCCUUUAGGGUUUGGCCUGGGCUUCGACGGCAUGGGGUGUGAAAGGCGCGUCGGCUAGGUGAAAGGGCUGAAAAUUUUCUUCUUCUUCUUCUUCUUUUUUUUUUCUUUUUCUUUGCAAAUGGUAGGCUUUGCCUUCAGCUCUAGCUGAAAGGGCACUGAUAAAGCCCGUUUUUGUGUAACUCUAGUGGCCACGGAGGGCUUCCGCUGACUCUAUAGCCAUAUCCUAGGCCGUGAUUUCAGAGAGAAAAAGGGAGAAAUGAGAGGAUUUUUUUUAAAACAUGGAGGAAGUGAUUUUUUUCUAAAAUUUUUGGCUUUUAUAGGCCUCCAAAACGGUGCCGUUUUGGGAUUGGCCUCAGACGUCCAAAACGGUGUUAUUUUAGCGAGACCCGAAUCACUCCCCAAGAUCCGGGUUUUUUUAGAAAUGGGAUAUUUUUAGUUUUAGUCCUUCUGCUUUUUAAAUACUUUUUAAUUUCGUUCUACUAUUUAUUAUUAUUUUUAUUUUGCCCUUUUGUUUUGUUUUUUGUGCAAUUUAGUCCCUCGACCACUGUGGACCCAUUUAGGCUAUACCACGUGUCCCAGGGCUUGGAAUAAUUACCCAUUUCAACCCUGCUACUUUUUAUGCGUCACAUUUUGGUCCUUUAUUCAUUUAUUUUAUUACAAUUUAGUCUUUUAAUUUCGUUUUAAUUCUGAUUUAAUCCUUGGUUUAUUUAAUUUCAACCUUUUAUGAAUUAUUUUAUUUAUUACUUCUUUACCUUUCUUUAAUACUCAAAAUUCAUGUUAUUUAUAUUUCCAUUUUAUUGUGCAUUAUUCGUCUUUAUUAUUAUUAUUUUAUUAUUCAGGUUAAUAUUAUGAUAGUAACUAUAAUAUAAUUAUCACUAUUAUUGCUAUAAAUUGUUGUUUUUUUACUAUCAUUAUAGUUGUAUUAUCAUCACUCACUAGUAUACCAUUUUUAUUUUUAUUUUAUUGAUUUAUUUAUUUGUUCAUUGAUUUACUUGCUUAUCAUUUUAAUAUCAUCUUUGCCUUUUUUACUCGUUACUAUAUUACUUUAUUUUGCUAACAUUCAUGUUGAGUAUCGCGUUAAAAUAUAUUCGUUCAUUUUAUUACUGGCCUAGAUAAAUAAAAAAGCAUAUCGUUAAAAGGUUGCACUCAUUUUACCAUAUGAAUAGGAAAUAUUCUUUUUUUUAAAAAAGACAAGGUUUAUUUUUUUGGAAUUAGAGGAGUCGUGCUCCGAACUUACGGAGUAUGACCUCUUUCUAAAACCGAAAUAGUUGAAUAUCUAUUUUAAAAAUAUAAAGAAAACGAGAUUUAAGUAAUGUCCAAAUGACGAUUAUUCUCGUUUUAAAGGGUUUAAGGCAUCAUAUCCUAACUUACGGGGCACGAUCUUUUCUUCUUGAUUAACUUGAAAUAAGCUCUUUUUGUGAAAAUCAAUUUAGUUAAGCGAUAUUUUAAUAUCAUGCAAAGAGGGAUCGUAUUUUAAGUUUGGUUCAAAUUUUUAGUUUUAGACAUCAAAACAUUAAGUAACCGGCUAGGUACCAAGGUACCAAUUUUGGGCGUUAUGAUGGUGCUUAACCUUCCUCAUAUGUAACCGACUCCCGAACCCACAUCCUUGGAUUUCGUAGGCUAAACAUUAUCAUUUUAGAAAAAUCUAAUCUUUUACCAAGAUGGUUAAAAUUUGAGGUCACCCAAUUACACCUAAUAAAAAGGAUCGGUGGCGACUCCAUUUUUAUUUUAAAAUAAAAAGUCGAUAAUCUAUUUAAACAAAUAUAAUAAAUAUUUUGCAAGUGUGCAAAUAUAAUAAAUAUUAUGAUAUUAGAUAUUAAGUUCAAGAUUCCAUUUAAAGUAUUAAUAAUAGGUAAAUUAUAAAAAUAGUCAUUUUUAUUUACCUCAGAUUACAUUUUAGUCACUUAUUUCAAUAAAAAAAAUUUUCAUGAUUUUUAUAGCUUUUCAACCGUUAAAAAGUUGAACCAUGUAAUUUCUUCUCUGAAACUUUUUGUGCACACUUUUCGGGACGUCUCGCAAGUUUUUGCGAUGCGUUGGAAAACCUCACAAAAAUUUGUUUAUUUAAAUCAAUAUUAAAAUAUAUGUUUAAAAUUAUGAACCCAUGAAAUUAUAAAUCUCAAAUUGGUAUCCUAAACAACCCAAGUCCUAAAUUAUGAACCUUAUAAUAAACGCUCUAAAAUUAUACUAUGGUUUAUAUUUUAUAUGGUAUGAAAUUAAAUGAUCAUAUAUUUUAAUAUGAUCAAAUGAAAACAGUGCAUUGGUUUACUAAUUAAACUAUUAAAUUCAAACAAUUAAUAGUUUGUUACUAAUUAAAAUGAAUUUAGAAGGAAUUUUUUAUAUUGAUGGUUUUUGAUGAUGUGUUUUGGAAGUCUCCUAACUUGGCUUUAUGUAGAGGAGAGGAAAUGAAUGAAGAGAUUUAGACCGAUUUAUGAAGAAUUUUGUUAAAAUGUUAAUAGGUAUAAGUGAACAGACACAAUGAAUGAAAAGCUGCAAUAUUAAACCAAAAGCAAUGAAUCUAUUCACCAAGAGAUAUAAUUGUUCAAAAGAUACAACUGUUCAUCAAGAGUCAGAACUAUUGUUUAAUUUGAGCAUCAAUUUAUCAUUCUAUCACUCAACAAUUUUGAACACAUUAUAUAGAAUAUAAACCCAUAAUUUAUUAUUCAAACCUUCAAUUUUAUCAAUAAAAUAACAUACCUCAAAGUUCCAAAAUAUCAAUUAUUUUUAAUCAACACAAUCUUUAUCGUUUGGGUUUUUGUAAAUUAUACAUGAUUCAUCUUUUACUCUCUUAAAACUAUUUUCUUAUAGGAAAAUAAGAGAGCUAUCUUUUUAAUAAAUUUAUACUCCACCCUCUUAAAUUAAUAAUGGUGAUCACCUACAUGUUAUGAGCACACUGUUAGCCCAAAACAUUUCGAUGUUAGGGUAUCUAUUUAGUUAAUUUAGUUUAAUGAGCUUUCUAAUCGCUUUUGGGUUUUCGGUCUUUUGACUUUGGAAGAUUCAUGUUCAUGCAACUAAGGAAUUCCUCAAGUCUGUUGAGAAGAAUGUGACUUGUCACAGGCUUGCUUAGCAAGUUGACUCAUCCUAGGUUGAUGUAAAUCGUGAUUCUGUGGUAACUUUAUAGGAUCAUUCGAUCUUUCCCCGAUGGUAAACUGAACUUGCUGAUCUCAUGUUGUACUUAUCAUUGUGAAGGGAUGACUCUUAUAGAUCACUAAGGAAGCCAUGAUUAUGUAAUCCAAUUCAACUGAGCUUAAUUGAAUAGUUUUAUAGCUUCCUUCCAUCUUAUCAUUGUGAGAACAAAGUACUAAUAGAGGACUUUUACUAGAAUGCAGAUGAAGUAAGGAAGGGAUUAGGAAGUGGCUGUCAAUGUGUAAUCUGUUUGGAAAUUAGUAUAUCUUAUAUUACUUUGUGUAGGCUAGAAGUAGAUAAAGGACUAAGAAGUAGCUCUCAUUGAUUUAUUGGUGUGGGAACUUUUUUAUUAGAUACGUGGUACUAUUUCAAUGACAAAACCAUGAAAUUGAUAAAGCAUUUAUUAUGGAAAUAAAGUUAAGUAAAACGUGGAAAAAAGAUUAAAUUACAAGUUUUGAAAAGUUUAGGGAUUAAAAUGAAAAUAUGACCAAAAUGAAAAAAGUAAGUUAUUGGUGAUGAAUUGACAUAUAUAAGAAUAGGUGGGGAUAUGUAUUGGUAAGAUGAAUUUUUUUAAGACUAAAUUGAAAAGAUGGGAAGAUAUAAAGACUAAAUUAUAAAUUUCCAAUUUUAUUGAAAAAAAGGUGAAAUAUGUAAUUUUGUGUUGGUGUGUGUUUUGUAGGUGAUUGUGUUGUUGUUGUCUUUAGGAGGGAUGUUCAAAUGGUUAACCGAACCAAAUUAGUAUUAAUUUAAUUAACCAAUUUUUUUUUACCUUUAACUGUUAACUAAAUCAAAAAAUUUUCAAAAAAUAUUAACCGAACCGAAAUUUAUAUGUUUAUUUUUUUAUUAAAACAAGUAUAAAAAAUAUAAAAAAUAAAUAAAUUGUUAAUGUUCAUUGACCGAAUUAAAACUACAUAUAAUUUGUAUUAUUGAUUAUUAAUUAAGUUAAUUACCCAAUUUCAAACUGAUAACCGGACUUUCAAAAAAUUAUUAACCAACCUCGGACCGAAUUAAAUCAAUUAAUCAACUAAUUAAUUGAAUUAGAUCGAUUCGAUAAGUUAACUCAAUUUUAACUGAAAUUUGAAUACCCUAAUAUUUAGGCAUGAUGUAUUGCUUCUUCUUUUUUUUUUAAUCUCUAACUUGGUUUUUCAUCCUUUAUGAGAUUUCAUAAAAUCUAAUAUAUAUUAAUCUUUGUAAACUUCGUCCUCCCGAAGUAAUGAAAUGGCAUUUUAGUAAAAAGAAAUUCCAAGUAGUUAUUACUAUAUACAUUACUAUCAAACUUUUGCUACAUUGCCACUUUAAUUUGUUUUUGGAAGAGGUUUUUUUUUUUUUUUAAUCAUCAUUUAUUCAUUAUAAUGGGUAGAAGAACGCCAAGAGUACAAGAGUGAUAGUUCCAAACAGACCACAGACAUCAACACCAAACGAAAGGGAAAAAAGAACAAAUACAACACAUAUCUUAGACCAUUUAACACUGCUAAUUGAUUAUCGUAACUUGCCUAUCAGUAUGCUCGAAAAUUAGUCAAGCAGUACAACCACAUAUAUAUAGGUAGAGAAAUGUCCAUUAUAUGAACUUACAUAACGGGAUACGAAGCUUUCAUGGCGAUACCACAUAAGCCACCUGGUGUAUUCGCGUCCCUUUGAAUCCUAAUAUAUCCUUUUUCACCCCAAGUUUCUCCCCAUGAAUUCUUAACCAGCCAGUAGUUUAAACCUUCUUCACUUGUUCCGUAUCCGACAACGGUGACUGCAUGGGAGAGAGCAUUGCCACAAUCUCCGGUAAACACUCCCCCGCUGUAAAACCGAAAGUCUUGUCCAUGGCCUUCGAUUGCAACUGAGACAGGUUGACUUGCGACGACCUUAAGCAACGCUUCUUCGUCGUUUUCAGGCACCAUUUGAUAUUCAUUGAUGGUGGCAACUUUGUUUAUCUGUUUCUCAGUGUCGCAAGUUUCUUGUGUUUCUUGAUAUGGGUAGCUCUCUUCAGUAGUUAUUCCUUGGUUUCGGAUAACGUAUUCGAAAGCAUUUACCAUUCGUCCACCAUCGCAACCUCUGUUUCCUCCAUCUGUGCUGCAAUCCAACAAUUGUUGUUCAGAUAAUGAGAUUAAACUACCAGUUUUGAUUUGGACUAUCCCUUCAAUGGCUGCCACUGCUGAAAAUGCCCAACAACAUCCUGCAAAGUAAACCAACAAUAACCCUUUGUUAAGUAUAAAACAAUUGCUUCUUGGCUGAGCAAUAUUUAUAAAAUAUUUUAUAGGAGUUGGGUUAGCAUACUA
rnacentral:lncRNA from 1 species